rnacentral:lncRNA from 1 species
UCCUUAAGAAGAUUGGAUGUUAUCAAUCAGAUUAAAACUGAGGUGGAAAAAGUUUGUCCUAAUAAAGUUUCUUGUGCUGAUAUUCUCACACUUGCAGCUGGAGUAUCUUCAGUUCUGGUAAAUAUGUUAAAACCCAAUUAUGUUUUAGUAAUUUUACAUAAUAUCAUAAUAACAUAAUAAUGGUUGAAUCAACUUCUUUUAUUUAUUUAUUUAUUGUAUUCACAGAGUGGGGGUCCAGGUUGGAUCGUUCCAUUGGGAAGAAGGGAUAGUCUAACAGCAAAUCAAUCCCUUGCCAAUAGAAAUCUUCCAGGUCCCAGCUCCAGUCUAGAUCAACUUAAAUCUUCCUUUGCUGCUCAAGGACUCAACACGGUUGAUCUAGUAGCACUCUCAGGUAUGCAAAUACAUGCACCAUUUCCUAAAUAAUAAUAAUAAUAUAAUUUUCUAUCAAACCAUGAUAUUUAGAUAAGAUGAUAUGAGCCUCCUUAAUUUUAAAUUUGAAUUUAAUCAUGUACCAUAGUGAUAUUAAAAUUUAUCGCGACUUUAGAUUUCACAUGACUCGGAUAAAAAAAAAAAAAAAAAAGGACAAACUGCAUCCAUUAACACUCAAAUAAGUAUUUUUAAAAGUAAUUAAAUCUUGAUGAGGAAUUGUUUGAACUAGGAUUCAAACUCGAAUUCUUCCAAAAAAAAUGUGUAUCUUACUAGAUCUUAUUAAUCCCUAGAGCUAUAUAGCACAUGAUGUAGGAGUAUAUGAUUUACUUGAAUGGUUCAAUUUCAGGUGCCCAUACAUUAGGAAGAGCACGUUGUCUUUUCAUACUUGAUCGAUUAUACGACUUCGACAAUACUGGCAAACCUGAUCCAACUCUUGACCCAACAUACUUAAAACAGUUGCAAAAACAAUGUCCUCAAAAUGGACCUGGAAAUAACGUUGUCAAUUUUGAUCCAACAACUCCCGAUAAAUUCGACAAGAACUACUACAACAAUCUUCAAGGUAAAAAGGGUUUGCUUCAAAGUGACCAAGAAUUGUUCUCAACACCGGGUGCAGAUACCAUUAGCAUUGUCAACAACUUUGGAAACAACCAAAAUGUUUUCUUCCAGAACUUUAUAAAUUCAAUGAUUAAAAUGGGUAAUAUUGGCGUGCUUACUGGAAAGAAAGGAGAAAUUAGAAAGCAGUGCAAUUUUGUUAACAAGAAAUCUUCUGAAUUGGAUCUUGCUAGUGUGACCUCAGAAUCAAUGGAGGGGGAUAUGGUUAGUUCAAUCUAAAUGAAUGUGGGUUACUUUAGUUGAAAUGCAUGUGGUGAUUGGAAUUCACUAAUAAAGAAAAGUGCUAGCUAGGCACAUCUGUGCCUUGAUGUGUAUGUUAUGUGCUUUAUGUGUGCAAGAUAAUCUUUUUUUUUUCUAAGUAAUUUUCAUUAUAUUAUAGUAUAUCCUCUCUUUCCGUCACAAGUUAUGUCUUUGUUUUUUUCAACAUUUCCCAUUAUUAGAUGAUCAUCCUCUUGCAUCCAUAGGGUUGAAUUAGGUUCACUUGCAUAAUCAAUUAACACUCGGCCUACAUAACAAUCCAUUACAAACUCAACAUGACAGUACACUUAAUAUAAAUAUCAAGAAUGCAUUGUGGAGAGCAAAAGUGAAUGGAACACAAUCUAUAGCACACAUGAUUCAACAAAAUAACUUAACUUUCCAACAUUACCUAAUAUAUAUAUAAAUUAUUUUGGAACAGACACAUCAUAUAAAUAUGUGUAAAACAACAACACAAGGAAGUUACUCAAAGUUUACUUUUAAACAAGAUUUAAGUAUGCAUUUGUUGAAUUCAUUAUAUUUUACCUUUUAUGUAAAUAUUUACCCAAUUGCAUUAAUAGAAAUCAGUUCCCAAAUUGUUCAGUUAAUUAAGUUCAAAAGCAAUUAUGAAAUCAAAAUGGGAUUGAAUCAACAAAAAACUAAAACUUAACAAUUAAACUAGAAUCAACAAAAACUAAAACUCACAAAAUAUACGAAAAAUGAGUAGAAUAUAACCUAGAUGGGAUUGCAACUAAUCAGCCUUUUCCAAUGGUUCCACUCUAGCUUCAUCGGAAACAUAUACCCAACCCAUUGCGGCUGUCUACGUCAUUACCUGAAAUAGUGUGAGUUGAGUGACUGGUUGGGCUUUUGUGCUUGCUUCCCACACUUGACUUCCUAGUUCAUCAGAUGUUAUCUUUUCCUUGAUCAUGUCAACAAAAGAUUUACAACCUUAGUGAUGAUGUAAAUAACUUCCAAAAACAAGUUUUCUCCAGAAACAUCAAUCAAAGAAAAAGAAUGACUCUGAUCAUCAAGGAAAAGAUCAACAUCUGACGAACUAGGAGAGUCAAGUGUGGGGGAAGCAUGCACGGAAGCACCACCAGUCAAUCAAGUCGCACUAUUUUAGCUAAUGACAAUCAUGAUGGUUUCCAAACUGAAAAAGAAUGAUGAGAAGCAAUGACAUUGGCGAGGAAGAAGAUCGGGCUGAAUGAAAUAGCCUUGUAAUUUUCUCUCUUUUAUAAUACUUGAUUUUGUUUUGUUUGUUUGUAACAAUACAUGCCUUUUAAUAAAGUUUGUCUUCCUAUAUAGAAGACCGGAGUUUUUGCCCAACUAUGGAUGAUAUAUGGUAACAUUUCAGAUUUCAUUUAUAAUGAAUGGCAACACAUACCUCCUUGCAUUGAGUAGGGGUAACAUUUUCUGCUAAAUAUUUAUGCUCAUUAAAGACAAGUUUUCCAUGAUGGACUUUUUCAUCACUACUUGCAUCUCUAUAUGGGCUAAAUGUACUGCUUUCGAUGCUCAAAAAAAUAAAAUAAAAAUUACCGUCUUCAUCCCUAAUUAUAAAACCCUUUUGAAAAAAAAAAUUAUUUUUUUAUAAGACCAUUUUAGUAUUUCCAAAAUACAUUAGUUAAUUCUUUACCAACAUACACUUAUUUAUUUUACAUCUUUUUAUUCAAUCAACAUUAAAUGUUAUGUUGAAAACAUACACCAACUCUCCCUCUUAAAUGAUAAAAUUGUAAAAACAGUAGUAAUUACAAACAAAUUUAGGGCCCUAUAAUUAUGGACAGAGGUAGUUUUAAAUUUGACUUUUGAAUGUGUGUAAAUAUUAUCAAAUUGUCCUUUGUUUAAAUGUAUUAAAUUUGACUUUUUAUAUUUCAAGACAAAGUUAGUAGUAUUAAUUAAAGAUAUAUUAAAGAAAAAUAAUAAAUAAAUCUAAUAAUUUGAAAACGGAUUUAUAUUUAGAGAUAAUUUUUUAGUCAAAUAAGUGCUUCGAUAUAGAAAGGAAGGAAGUAUUACAUAUGUUUCUUUCCAUGGUACCUGGAGACAAACCAUGUAAUGCUCAUCAACUGCCUUCACAAUUUGGUUGCUAGCAAUUACAGUACAUAUUGGUUCCCCAUAAGAGUGUCACAAAACCCAAUUAUUUACCGUUAACUCCCCUAUAUUAUGAGUAAUGAUAUUAUUACUAGUAUUUUGUGAUAACUUUCUUCAUUUCUCUUCUUAUUAUUGGACAAAAGAAAAAGAGACAAAGAUAGAGAGUAUUAAUUAUAGGCCAAUUCUAUGUGCAUAAAUGAGACAUACACAAGUUUUUUUUUUUUAUUCUGUUUGUUGAUAAAUCAAGAGUAUGUACAUGCAUCAAAUUAGUUAUAAGACAUCCUAACUACACUGACACCCCAAACAACGAAAAAUAAUUAGCAAACAUACUCAUAAUAUCACACACACAAGUUUGUCAUUUUCUCACUUAAUGAGGAUGAGCAUAAUGACAAUAAAUAAGAUGAAAAUAAUGACAAUAAUUAAGAGCAUUCUUGUUGGUUUUUUGAAACCAAUUAUACAUUACCAACAACAUGAUGGGAACAAGAAAGAAAUACAUUAUGUUUUCACUCACUUUACACUAACUGUUGGUGAUCCAUGUACAAGGAAUGUAUCUUAAAGUUGGUAAAUUUAUGUAACAUUGCGUAUCCAAUUUUUUUUCUUCUUGUGAACACAACAUUAUGCAUCCUAAUUAGUAACAAGAAUAUAAUUAAUUUAUAUACUAUUAACCAUUCAAUAAAAAUGCUUGCUAAAGAAUGGCGACUUACGUGCAUCAAAGAGAACGAGGAAGAGGAUACACACGCCAACUAGUGAUUUCUUCUCCAUGGCUUAGUGAAUUCAAAAAGGCUUCAAAGAGAAAAUUAUUGAGAGAAUUUCUAAUAUGGUUAACGAUUGAAAAUCACACAUCUCCUAUCUCCUAUACAUAUACAUUUCACAAUUAAUAGAAUGCCUAAUUAGACAUGUUAUGUCUCCUUCUCCUUUCAAAAAAAAAAUGUUAUGUCUCCUUUUCAACAAACUUUACAUGAGACAUUAAUUGACAAUUAUUUUAUCAUGUACAAUACUUUUUUUUUUUGAAGAAUCAUGUACAAUACUUAAUACCAUUAUUUUAACCAUUGACAAUUGUACAUUAACGCAUUCAUUUAUUUUAAUUUAUUCCAUUAAAAAGUUCUCGGUAAAAUUAUAUUUUUAAUCUCUUAACUUAAUUUCAGGUAACAGUUUGGUCCUUUAUAUAUUUUUCAUUUCAAUUUGGUCAUUUUUGUCCAUUUUCGUAUGAAUUUUUAAGCUCAAAAUUCAUGAUUUUAUUUUCUUAUGGUCUUUCAGUCUUCAAAUCUAUGAUCCUCGUCUAUGUUUGCAUAAAAAUAUAAGAUUUGAAGUUUGAAAAUGUAUAUAAAAAUGGACAAAAAGAACCAAAUUGAAAUGAAAAAAAAGAUAAAGGACCAAACUGUUACCAAAAUUUAAAUUAAGGGACUAAAUUAAAAUGUAAUUUUGCCAAAGUUCCAUUUGACCGUAACCAUUUUGAAGAUUUAUUUCAUUAUUAAAAGGUAGAAAAAAAAAAAAAAACAUUUCCAUUUCAUCCUUCCUUGAUUUAUGGCAAAGCCAACAUGCAUGAAAAAGUAGAUCACAAAUUACACCGGUAAUUAUAAUAAAAAAAAUAUGCAAUAUAAUUUAUUUUUGAAAUAAAAAAAAUUAUAAUUUAGAAAGAAAAAAAAAAUAAUGAAAGAAGUUUUUUCUUUUUUAAGAAAAUAUAAUGAAUGUAGUUAUCACGCUAUUAACAGACAAAUGUUUGCUACCGAUAAAUAUUAAAAGAAAAUUGAGACAACUAUUUGUCACUAAUACAUAAAUAAAAAACACAACAAACAUUUAUUAGGGAAGGCUAUACAAAAUUCACAUGACAUUAGUUGUAAUUUAAAUUGGACCACUGACGCGCAGUACGGAAGCGUAGAUUAGCAAGCGUUAAAUAAGGUGUUGCUAACCGGUGCCCCCGAGGCACCGGUUGAAGGAGCAAUAAAUUGAUCAGUUCUAUUUAUUUUAUCUCAAUUAAUAUGAGAAAUAAUAAACCAAUUAAUUAAAAUUGUAUUUAAUACUCUCUUAUGGAUUUGUAUGGGUAUCUUGUAAUCUUUUGUUUUUCAACUUUUUGGAUUUGUUCUCGUUUUGGCUUUGGUUGUAGGUGCCUGUUGUUUGUAACAGACGUUGGGUGAUUCAUCAUUUUAGCACACCUUGUGCGGGGUGAAUUACCUUUUUACAUUAACCUAGAUUGAACGUAAGUAAACUGAAUUUACAAACUUAUUUUACAUCAACCUAGAUUAAACGUAAGUAAACUGAAUUUACAUUAACCUAGAUUGAACGUAAGUAAACUUAAUUUACAUUAACCUAGAUUGAACGUAAGUAAAUUUAAUUUACAUUAACCUAGAUUGAACGUAAGUAAACUUAAUUUACAUUAACCUAGAUUGAACGUAAGUAAACGUAAGUAAACUGAAUUUACACUAACAUCUUAUAUACAUACGUAAACUAAAUUUACAUUAACCUAAAUUGAACAUAAGUAAACUUAAUUUACAUUAACCUAGAUUGAACGUAAGUAAACUGAAUUUACACUAAUCUAAAUUGAACAUACGUAAACUUGAAUUUACAUUAACCUACAUACGUAAACUACACUAACCCCUUUUAUAUACAUACACGUAAACUUAAUUUACACUAACCUCUCACUUAAAAUCAAAUUGGCUGACAGACAUAUCUCAUACCAAAACAAACAAUAAACAAAUAGAAACUCAUCGAAAAUGAAAUUCAUGAAAUUCACUAACCUUUAUGAAUAUAGUACAGAUCAAUAACAAAGAUGUUGAUUCAGAUAUUGGUUGCACAUCUAUGGUGAUUUGUGGAUGAAAGGGGGUAAGGGUUCAAAAUGAUCAUAAAAGAUGGGUUUUUAAAAAUUUACAUGAAGAGGGCAAUUUUGGUAUUAUUGUAAAAUUUUAAAUAAAUUUGGGUGUAACUUGUUUUUUUUUGGGUGUGACUAGCACCGGUCCUCUCUUAAAGGCACAACAACUAUUAUAUAAUUUUGAGAGUUGAUCAAUUAAUAUCCUGUGAAAUAGAAAUAUAAUAUUAUUUGAAUUCUUCUUGUAAAUUUUCCUCAUAACAAUAUUGUUUUUUCCCGUGAAUUUUUUUUUGCACCAUUUUUUUUCGUUCCGUGAAUUUUACUCAGCAUAUUGUCUUCUUUCAUUUUUUUUUUUUAAUUAAAAGUUGUUGAAAUAAUUAAACAAAGACAAGAUAUUUUAAAGUCCAAAAUAAAUUGGCAAUUUGAAAGAUAAAACAUAUUCAGAUAAGAUAUCAAAUACAAAAUCAUUAAAUGUGUAAUUAAAUUCUCUUCAAAACAAAAAAUUGCAUCUUUUAGAGAAUAUUGAUCACAGCUUUUAUUAAUUUUAAUUAGUUACAUAUUAUUCCUCACUUUAAUUAAGAUAGAUAAGUAGAAUCUAUAAAUUUAUUGCUUCUUAACCAGUGUCCCCGGACACUAGAUAGCAUUACCCUAAUUGUGUUUUAACCCAUUGACAAUUUUACAUGAACUCAUUUAUUUAUUUUAAUUCAUUCCAUUAAAAUAUUCAUUAAACCGUAACCAUUCAUUUUGAAGAUAUAUUCCAUUAUUAAAUAGGUAAAAAUACAUUCCCACUUCAUCCUCCCUUGAUUUGUGGCAAAUCCAACCUGCAUGAAAAAAUAUAUCAGAAAUUAUACUAUUAAUUAUAAUAAAAAAAAUUAUUAAACACUCGGCUUGCCACUCCUUUUGUGAGAACAUCAGCUAAUUGCAAUUCUGAUCAUAUACAAAGGGAAAUGAAAUUAUUCCUGCUUCAAGCUUCAAGCUAAGUUACAUAUGCAUCAGCAGUACAAGCACACAUUCGCAACAAAUUUUCAAAAUUCCAAGGGAAACCUGAUCUAACCAUUAUAUACUCAAGGAAAUUCCAACUGAGAGAGUCGUAGACCUUUUCGAAAUCCACCUUAAAGAUGAGGUACUCCUUCUUAGUUUUUCUAGCAACAUCAAUAACCUCAUUCACCGCUACCACCCCAUCAACCAAUUGACGCCCCUUAAUAAAAGCAUAUUGGUUAGCAGAGAUAAGUUUAUCCAUGACAUCUGCUUUUUUGAUAGCUAAUAACUUACUAUGUUCUCUAAAUAUUGAACUUCAACAUAUAUUUUUCCUUUGGUUGCAGGGCCAUAUGAAAUUUCAUUCUAAUGUCGGAGUAAAAUUAGCAAAUGCCUAUAAGAUGCAUAAGAAAAUUUGAAAAUAGGCCUGAUUUUGUGUAUCCAAAUUCCAACUCUCCUCCAAAUUUUUAAUCACCUUUUUUUUCGAGGAAUAGGCAUAGCAUACACUUAUGUUACAUUGCUGAAUUAAGAUGUGAAAUGUAAAAAUAUUAUGUUGUUAUUGUUUAAUAAUUGAUCAAUCAAAUUAUAGAUUACAAUAAGUAACAUAUGUAGUAUUAUACGUAUAUGACACUUCCAUACACACACAUAUAAUAUUCCUCAAACAUAGGGGUUAUUAUUGGUAUUUGAUUUAAAUCUAAAGUUUAAUAUUCCUCAAACAUAAGGGUUGUACGUAUUUGGGUAUUUGCUAUUUUUAACACGUUGACCAUAACUGCGUUGUUACCUAUGACAUGUAGAUAACUUAUAUUUGUAUUCAUGCAAAUUUUGUAUCGUAAUAGUAUCAAACAAUAUAUAUAUUUAUUAGAUUACAAAUUCUUUAUUCAUAUAUUUCGUCCUUGCAUGCGUCUAUUGGAUCCAUUUAACAAUGUUGUCUAAGGCACCAACAACGGAAGUCAUCCCAGCACCUUCCACUAAAUGCGUGCUGUUUGUUCUUGCAAUAUUUGUUACAACGACUACGCAGGAAGAACGGAAUGCAUGGUCCCUUGAAUGUAGCAGAUAAUUUCUCAUUACAAUAUGUUGCUUCGAUCACCACAAUCUCCUCUGCAUCAAAGUACCAAAUUGAAUAUUAAUUGGAUAACAUAUUUAACUUUGAGAAAUGAUAUUUGUACAACCAUUUUUGCAUAACUUUUGUACAAACUUUCUCUCUCAUACUCACAUUAUCUUCUUAUUCUCUCUCUUCCUUUUUCCCUCUCCAUUGUUUUUGAUCAAUAAGAAGAAAGAAAAAUAAAUUGUCAUAAAGGUUGAACCAAAUGAUUGUUCAAAUAUCAUUGCUAUUUAACUUUUUGAUAAAUAUACAAGAUGGACUAUACUUUUUUAAGUCAAAUCAAAUGAGUAUAACUCAUAGUAUGAACAAUAUAUAAAGUGGUAAACAAUGAAUUGAGCUACAAUAAUAACAUGCCCUUGUUAUUUACAAUUGGAUGUGUGAAAAAAAUUAUAUAUGAGUAAGCGUUUAGAUUUAUAUACAAUACAAUAAAUCAAAAUUUCUAUUAUUGUUAUAAAAAAAUAAAUUAGUAAAUGUUUAUUAGAGAUAGAAAAUUUUAUUUAUCUCUUAUUUUAAUAUCUUUACUUUUCACUUUAAUUAUUUUUCUCUAAUCAUUUUAGCGAUCACCAUCAAAACAUCGUCAAAAGAUAUAUAUCAUAUACUACUUUAAUUGUUUUUCUCUAAUCUUUCUAGUAUCUAAUUAAGAACCACGCAUGUCUUUUUUUUUAUUAAGGAUCGUCGCAUGUAUUUUAAACACAAAUAUUUUGUGAACAACCGAAUUCUUAUACACGCAUUUGACACUCCAUUACAUUAAUUUAAUAAUUAAAAAUAAUUUUAUUUAUAUUUGAAAAACUAUUUUUCUAAAUAUUUUUAUUUAUUUACUAUUAUUAUUAGUAAGGGUGGGAAGUGAUCGGCCAACGAAGUUCUACCACCGCCUGAUGUGGGGUUACCAUAGUUCAACUGCAACCCACCGUAUGGUGACCAAACUCUACCUUUGGUCGAUCAGUAUCAUCCACCACAUAUGGUGGGGGUGCCAAAUGGAUGAAUGACAAAAAGAGUGAUCCUUGUAAAAGGAAUAUAUCUCAAAAAGUUGGUGAAUUUACGUAACAUUGUGUGUCUAAUUUUUUUUAUGAACACGACAUUAUGCAUCAUGAUUAGUAACAAUCCUAAACAAGGAUAUAAUUAAUUAAAAUACUACAAACCAUGCAAUAAAAAUGUAUGCUAAUGAAUGAUGUCUUACGUGCAACAAAGAGAACGAGGAAGAGGAAGCACAAGACAACUAGUGAUUUCUUUUCCAUGGCUUAGCGAUGAGUUAUAAUUUGUUAAAAGGUUUCAAAGAGAAAAUUAGCUCUAUCCCUAUAAUAAACAUUUACCUUCCUUCAAAUUGAAAGUACACGUGGCAUCUUCAUAUUUUUCAUCUCAUUUAAUAUUUUAUUAUCAACCAAUCAAAAUGGAUUAUGACACAUUUAUUUUAUAUCAACCAAUAAAAAAAAAGAUCAUGACUCAUUUGUGUAUAUCAACCAAUAAAAUUAGCUCCAUGCGCUUACUACAGGAUCAUACACACUUUGUCUGCUCUUAAACAAUUCUUGAAAAGUUUUUUUUUUUUUUUUGAAGAAGCUAAAUUAGCACAUCUAAAUUGACACCAGAGGGAAUCAAACAUGCCACUCAAGUUGGUGCAUGUAUAUCAUAAAUUCUCAAUUUGAAUAAAGACUCAUUAAACACUCGGCUUGCCACUCCUUUUGUGAGAACAUCGGCUAAUUGCAAUUCUGAUCAUACAAAGGGAAAUGAAAUUAUUCAUGCUUCAAGCUUCAAGCUAAGUUACAUAUGCAUCAGCAGUACAAGCACGCAUACGCAACAAAUUUAGAAUUGAAUUUGAAAUAUUUCAAUUCCACAAGAUGAUGACAAUUUACUAAAAAAAACAUGAUGAUGACCAUGCAAUGUGCAUAGUGUUACCUUUAAUGGGAGUGUAGAUUUAAUAAGAUGAUGACAAUGCAAUAUCGUUGUUAAAAUUCUGAUCAGAAUCCUACGAUUUUGUGAUUUUUCGAAUCCUGGGUAGAAUCCUAAAUUUUGCAAAAUCUAUUUGUAAUCGUUUAUGUUUAAGCGAUUUUACGAUUUUGAAUUUGUGGGUUUGUAGGCUUGUAACAUAACCAGACUUUCGAAGAUGUUCUACAUUAUAAAUGUCACAGAUAGAAUCAAGCUUUGAAGUAAAGUCCCCAUGUUUUCCACUCUAAUUUGGAAAACACUUUCAACUGAAUGUGAAUCAAGGACUUCAAUAUAGUUGCCUCACGAUCGUGACUAACUAAAUGAGUAUGCAUGCAAUUUUUGGAGCUAUCGUACAUUGUAUUUUUCAUUUGGAAUAAAUGCACCAGCCGUUGGUUUUAGUAGAACAAGUUUUGCAUACACGGCGAAAAAUUCUCAAAAGCAAUUGCCACUAGAAAUUGGUGUGUCAUUGAUUUUUCAGAUUUAGACUGAGUGACUCACUUAAUGAGGAUGAACACAAUGACGAUAAUUAAGAACCUGCUUAUUGGUUGUUGCAAACCAACUGUACAUUAUCAACAAGUUUUUUUGUAUGCAUGUUUGUUACCUUGUAAUUUUCUAUUACAACCCAACAACCUAGUGGAAAUGAGAAAGGAAUACAUGAAGCCUUCACACACUUGACACUAAUAGUUGGUGAUGUAACAAGGUUGAAAUAUUUAUUGUCUCACACUUAUUUCACUAAUCUUUUGAACUUGCCACGGUUAUAUCUACAUAAUCAUAUGAGGAGCGUAUGGUUAGCUUAAUUUAAUAAAUAAAUGAGGACUUGCAAUGCAAUUAAAAUGUUGUGGUUGCAAGUCACUAAUAAAGAACAAAUAAGCACAUUCGUGUCAUGUGUUAUGUGCUUUGUUGUGUGUGUAAGAGAAUCUUCUUUGAUGUAGUACUGUCCUCUCAAUCUCUCUACCAUUUGCUCAAUUUGUUUUUUUAAAACGGCAAGUUAAAGGGAAAUCCAAGGCUUUAAUAAACUGAUCAGAAGCACAACUUUAGUAACAUCUUUUAUAAUGACUUGGUAAUUUUGUUUAAAAUUUACGUUCAUGUGAACCAAUGUUUUAAGGAUAUUCUGUAAGAAUUUUAAAUUAUUUAUUAUAAAAAAUCAUUAAUAACAUUAACAUUUGUAUUUAUAUAUUCCAUCCGUUUCAAAUUAUAUGUCAUUCUAACAAAAUUUGUUUGUUCUAAAUUAUAUGUCACUUUACAAUAUCAAGGAAUCAUUAAUGUUUAUUUUUUUAUUAUACCCGUUACUAUUUAUAUUACUUUAUCUUUUCUAAUUCUUUUAAUUUAUGUUUUCUAUCAUAAUGAAGAAUAUUUUUGUAAAACAACUCACAAUUACUCUCUUCUAUACAGCAUCAACUAUAUUUUUUAAUCUAUAUAAAAUUAUUAUUUUUUACUAAAUUUAUAUGAAAUUGUUAAAGUGACGUAUAAUUUAGAACGAAAGAGUAUUAGUUUAUAAAUAUGAUCAAAAUAAGUGAUAUGAAUAAUAUAUCCUUAUUUAUUAAUGGCUUAAAUGCUCUUUUGGUCUCUUAAGUAUUUAUUUGGUAUCACUUUGGUCCCUUAACUAAUAAAAAGAUUGUUUCAGUACUUUAAUUUAAUUUUUGUUACACUUUUUGGUCCCUUUCGUUAGAGUUGUGAAAAAACUGUUGAGGGGUUAACCCCAAAUGUCUCUGGUGGACUCACAUUAUAGGUGGUCCACCAAAGACCUUAGUAAUACUUUUAACCUUAAUCGUUUGAUAUUUUUUAUAGAAUUUUUUUAUAGAAAAACAACCAUUAAAUCAUACAUGUCUACGAGAUCUAACUAUAUACCACCAACACUUAAUUUAUUUUUUAGCUUUCUUCAUCUCCUUCCCUCAUUCUCUUCUUCAUAUUCAUCAUCACAUACAUACAUUCAUAACAAAACUAAAAAAAAAACCAGAAAAAUCCAUAAAAUAAAUUAAAAACAACCAAAAAAAUCAUAAUCAUAAUAACAAUUCUUUUCACUCAAAAAACAUCACUUUCAUUUAUCUAACAACACAAAUUUUCAAAUCCCAACAACCAAAAUCUCCAAACCCACAAAAUCAUAAUCAUCAUCAUUUUUACAUCAUCAUGUUAAAAAUUCAUACUGCCCUACCACAUAAACCCCAUUUUCGAGCUUGUUAAUCCUCUCUCCUCCAUCAAUUUUCUUCUUUCUUAGCAAGAUCAAAAGAUUGUUGUUGUUGUUGUUUCUUCUCUCCUCCAUUUUCGAGUUUGCCAAUUCUCUCUCCUCCGUCAAUUUUCUUCUUUCUCAGCAAUAUCAAAUGAUUGAGGGAUAUACUUUCUGCAUUUGUUUCUCUAUUAUAUGUAUGGAUCUGUUUAAUGGAUAUGGGUUGCUCGAAAUUGCAGAUCCAAAUGAAGGAGGGAGUAUGUGAAUUGUUGUUUAUGAAAUUUUGGUGGAUAUGUUUAUUGUUGCAUAUUCGAAAUUUCAGAUCUGAAAUUUUGGUGAUUUUUGUUAUUUAUUGUUGUUUAUGAUGGUGGUGGUGAUGAUGUUGUUGAAUUUCUAGAUUUUUUAUGGGUUUUUUGAUGAAGCUUGAUGAUUUUCUAGUUUUUUUUUUGUGUUGUUCAUGUUGUGUUCUUCAUUAUUUUCUUUGAAUGUUUAUGUUAUGUUCUUCAUAUUUUCCAGAAAGGAGAUGAAGGAUUGUAUGGAGAAGAUGAAGGAAAUAAAUAAGUUUUCAACUAAUGUCAAAACGACACGUGUACCACACUUAACGUUUUUUGAAUUUUUUUAACAGAAGAAACCAAAACAGGUAACAGAGAUAAAUAUAAAUUACUGAAACAAUCUUUUUUUUAGUUAAGGGACCAAAGCGAUACCAAAUAAAUACUUAAGGGACUAAAAGAGCAUUUAUGCCUUUAUUAAUUUUAUUAGGUCUGCAGCAACUUAACUUAAUAAUUUCCCUCUAAAAUGCUGCAUUAGGUUAGCAGCAAUUUAACCUAACAAAUUUCAUCUAAAAUAUAGUGCACCAAUUUAACCUAUCAAAUUCCCUCUAAAAUGCAGCAAUCCCUAAUAUUUCUCCUCACUAAUAAGUUUUUCAUUCCUAUCAUGUUGUGUCAUCGUUUGUAUAUAUUUAUUGUUUAUGUAGACUUUUUUUUUUACAAGUUAUUGUACACUUAUUUAAUACGUUUACAAACAAAAUACCCUAAUUUUCAUGCAAACUCGGCUACCAUAAUUUCAAUGCAAAUUCAACUAUAAAUAGCAAACCCAAAAUCGUGUUUCUCUAAAAAAACCAAAACUAUUGUAAAUUACAAACUCUGCUACCCUAAUUUUCUUUUAUAAUACUUUCAGAUUUUAUACAUUUUAUAAAGUGUUUUAUUGUGUCUACUAUGGAUUAUCACCUGUUCUUUUUUUUCACCGUUAUCAAUUAUAUAUUGCAUUUUAUUAUUCGUUUGUCAAUCUCUUAACAAUAAACAUGUGUGAUGCACGGGUCAACUAUCUAGUAGAGUCUUACUAACGAGUGCCCUAAUGACAUUCUUUAAGAAUUCCUAAUUAAGAAACUAUUCAAUAAAAAAAUCUGCUUCAAUUUUCGAUAUAUUGAAGUCAUAUGCUUUCAUAAAAUCUUACUAUUAUCUAAAGUCCUUAAAGAGUACUUUAAGACAUUCUUAACAGUUAACAUUUCCAGAUAUAUCGUUAAACUGCAACAUGUGUAAUGUGUUUAAGAUCUUUCAGGAAAAUUCAUUAGCAUUUCUUUAGAAUCUAGAUGGCUUGUUUUUUACUUUGUUUGGAUUGUUGUGUUGUGUCACCGAAAUAUGCUUUGAUUCUUUGUUUAUAAUUAGAUGGUUAUGUCACCGAGAUAUGCUUGACUUUAUUUAGAUGGCUCUACCUAAUAUUAAUCGCGACAGUGAUGGCUGCAACUGCUAACAGUUGAACAACAAAAACAAGUACUAAUGACAAAGAAGAUAAGACCAUAUUAAUAAAAGAAGACCAAAAUAAAUGUAUUGAGAAAUUAGAAAUCUCAAUGAUAGAUCGACCAACUCAAUUUGCGCACUUUGUGUCCGACCAUUGGAAACUACACCUUAUUUUAAUGCAACACACUUAUGCUUUGUUAAAUAGUCCUAUUUUAGCUUGAAAAUUGCAUUUUAAACUUCAAAAAUUUAUCUUCCACAUUCUAAAAUUAUAAUCUCUCCGUCUUAGAAUGGGUAUCGUUUUAGCAAAAAAAUUGUUUUAACAUGAAUUUUAUUUUCAGUUUCAAAUUCAAUAAUAACUUUUUUAUUUUCAAUUGUAUCCUUUAAUUAAUACUAUAUACAUUACUUUCAAAAUAUUAUUUUUUCUUUAAUGAAAAACAAACAAAUAGUUGAUUAUAAUAAUUUGGUAAUAUAAUAUCUUUUUCUUUUAAUUAAUGCAUUUCUUAAUAUGUGCGUAAAAACUUUAAACGACAAUUAUUUACGGAUGGAGUAUUAAUAGUAGUUAAUUGUAGUUCAUCAUCAUGGUAAUUAAAAGGUAAUAAACGAUAAAUAAUUGUCGUUGAAGGUAUUAAAAUAAUUCUAAGGCGCGGGUGAUCAAUUUUUGAAGUUUAAAGAGUAAUGUUCUUUCACUUUUGAAGUGUAUAAAUGAAGUGUUAUAAACAUUUUUUUUCACAUUUUCUUUUUUGUUGAAUGAAGUCGUGAUAGACUCCGUAUUUUUUUUUUUGAAGGAGACUCCGUCUAUAUUGAUAUUUAUACCAAAUAAAAGAGCAAAUGUGUCCCCGUGAGCAUAGCUCAGUUGGUAGGGACAAUGCAUUGUUAUAUGCAGGGGUCGGGGUUCGAACCCCGGACACCCCACUUAUUCACCUUAUAAGGUGAAUUCUAGCCACUAGGUUACCUGACAAAAAAAAAAAAGAGCAAAUGUUAAAAAAAAGGUUUAUGUCAUUUAUAAAGUUAUAAAAACUUUGUACUUUUAAAAGGAAAAUUACAAUGGUUUAAUCUAACGGUUAAAAUAAAAAUGUAUUUUCUCUGUUAAAAUUUAGAAUAUAAUGCAGAGAUGAUCAAGAUCUUAGCAUCAUUUUAGAGCGAGUUAAAAUAAAAUCUACUUAUAUUCUCGAGUUUAAUUAAAUUAGUCUUCUUUAUUUUAUUUUUGUAUCUGGAUCAAUUAUCUUUUAUGCGAAACAUUAAAGAUUAAUCUCUCGAUACAAAUAGAACCGCGAAAAAGAAAUUUAAUAAUAUUGCAAUUUUUAUUUGGUCAAGUAGUAAAUGAAGUGUCCGAAGUUCGAAUUUCGAUCCAUAUAUAUAACAAUGUAUUUCCUUGUCAAUUGACUUAUACUCACGGAAAUAAUAACAAUGCUACAUUCUAUAAAAUCGAAUUCAAAUUCAAAAUCUCUGCUAAAACUUUAAAGAUUUUAUUUUAACCAUUUUAUUUAAAUGUUUAUUGAACGAAGUUUCUCUAUUUUGAACUAGAGCAUCAUCCAUUCACACUGAAUUUACACUAAGAGUAAGUAAAAGACUCAAUUACACUUUUAGCCCCUAUCUUUUCAAAAGUUACGAUUUUGGCGCCCUAAAUAAUUAAAAUACAAAACUUCCCCUAUGUAUUGAAUCUUUGGCCCCCAAGGCCACUUUUGACCCCCUAUCUUUCCACUUUGGGGGCUAAAACUGCCAAAAAUCCAAUACAUAGGGGGCUGUUUUGUAUUUUAAUUAAUUAGGGGGUUAAAAUUCCAACUUUUGAAAAGAUAGGGGACCAAAAGUGCAAUUAAACCUAAGUAAAAAUAGUCCUUUCAAAAAAAAAAAAGUAAAAAUAGUACUUUUAAAUAAAAAAAAAAAAAAAAAAAAUUUACGUACAAAUCGCGCUCGUGCCGCCCACGUGUUUGUUUAACGUGACCAUUUCUUUUGGUUACACGAUGCUAUGGAUUUAUCGGAUGACAAUAAUGUCAAUGUCAAUCGUGGUUGGCGACUUUAAUAUGGGCCCACACAUGAGAGCAGCACUGCCACUUGCAAUUUUUAUUUUUUUUUAUUUUAAGGAACUACCACUUGCAACUUAAUGACUGGAUAAUUUUCUUAUGGAAAACUAUUGGGUAUACCAUUUAAAAUUCAGUUAAAAAAAUAUUCACCAUUCUUAUAUUAUUUGUCAUUUUUUUUUAGUUUUCAUCGGGUCAUAAUUUUUAUUAUUUCAAUUUAUUUUCUUUUUUAUAGCAUAAAUACAUUAUUUAUUAUUCUUUUUCAAUAACAUACCUUUAAUUAUUGUUUUUCAAUAAUCUAUAACUAUUCAUAACUAUAAUCGAUAAAAAUAUUUUAAUAAAUGAUGCACAACUUACUAACAAUAUUUAUUAUUUCUUUAAUAAAUUUGUAAAACGCAAAUGAGACACUUAAAAUGAGACGGAGAGUGCUUCAUUCUUCCCUUAUUAUAAAGUUCUUUAAUAAACAUUAUGAAUAUAAAUAAAAGUUGUUGAAUAAAUUUCUUUGAAACAUGUGUGACUAUUAUUAAAUUACUCAAUUUGUCUUAAAUUAUAAGUCACUUUGGUAAAAAAAAUAUUUUAAAUUAUAAAUUGUUUUACAAUACCAAUGACAUAUUCCUCAAAAAAUACCAAUGAAAUAUUGUUAUUUUUUCGAUUAUACCAUUAAUCAUUUAUUACUUUAUUUUUUAAGAUUAAUUUUGUAAAACAACUCAUAAUAUAUUUUUUCAUACAAAAUUAAUUAUAUCUCCUAAUACGUGUGAAAUAACCAAAACAACUUAUAAUUUAGGACGGAGGAAGUAAUCUUUAUAUAUAAACUUACGUUAAGUUGGACACUAACAUGUUUGUCUCUGUGUUUUUAUUGAUAAAGAAUGAUAAAUUAUUGGAAAGGAAAGUUGAGUGUGUAUUCCUUUUAUAAUUAUAUCUUGAUAUAUAUGCAUUUAAAGAAAAGUAAUAUAUGCUCUUGUAAAAAUUUGUAUAGAAUUUUAUAUUUAACGAAAAACGAAGUACUUAAGAGAGGAGGGAGUACUUAAAUACUUCCUGUAUAUAAUAAAUGUUAUAUAGUUGAUUAUUUCACAAAAUUAAGAUCAAAUGAUAAAUAAAAAAAAUUGGAUUACUAUCACACAUAGUAUUAUUUCACAAAGAAUAUUAUUAUUAUUUUUAAAAUAAAAAAACACACGCUGUUUCUUGCCAAAAGAAAAUGUUUGUUGCUAUAUAUUAUUACAAUUUGCAACCUCAAUACUUUACAAGUCAUGGCCAUUAUUUUCCUUCAAAAAAAAAAAAAAAGUCAUGGCCAUUAUUAAAAUAUAAUUGUCUAGUCUUUAUAAAUAACGGUUUGAUUAAUGUCCAAUCAUACUCAUAACAACAAAAUGAACUCCUUUGGUCUCACGUUGACUGCUCUAUGCUGUGUAGUGGUUGUUCUUGGAGGGUUACCCUUCUCCUCAGAUGCACAACUUGAUCCUUCCUUCUAUAGGGACACUUGUCCAAAGGUUCAUUCCAUUAUUCGUGAAGUCAUAAGGAACGUCUCUAAGACUGAUCCUCGCAUGCUUGCUAGUCUCGUCAGACUUCACUUUCAUGACUGUUUUGUUCUGGUAUAUACUCUCUCCAUAUUCAUUCUUUCCCAUGUCUUUUGUGUCUACUCAUACUCAUGUAUGUAGAACUAGCACCGACAUGUCAAACUAAACAUGUUUUGAUAUUCGUCACUAAUACUAAACAUUUAUACAUAUAAUUAUUUAUAAUAUUUAAGUUUUUCAAAUUGUUACUAAUAUAAACGUGUAGUGUUAGGUCUGAUGUCCAUGUUAAUAUUUGUGUUGGAUAUUUUACUCGUGUAGAAUCACUCAUAGUUCUUUACUUGAAUUGCUUCUAUUUGAUAUAUCUAAUAUUGUUAGUUUUAGUUUUAUAUUGAAUUUAACUUAAUCUAAAAUAUUGAUUUGGGCUAAAGGUUAUAAGAGUAAGAGAUUUGAAAUUUAAAUUCAGACAAAAGAGAAAAAAAAUGAUAUUCAUCUAACUACUAUUAUAAUUAUUGUCCAUUUCGUUGAGCUUGGUAACACAAACUUGUGACUUUAGUUGGGGUAUAAAAGGCACGGAUCCUCUUCUGUGAGGAAUUAAUUGGAGGACAUCCAGUGCUAAAUCUUACCGUUCAUUUUUUUAAAACAAUUUAAAUUGAAUAAUUUAAACAAAAAGUGAGUGGAGGAGAUUCCAUUGGAUGACACUUUUACGGGAGACAAUCCCCACCCGGGUAAUAAGAUGUUGAAAGAGGUCUUUUGACGUGUGCCAAAAUAAAAUAUUGUCCAUUUCGGGAAAAAAUUCUACAAAAUACGUUUAGAGUUUGUUCUAUUGGUCACGUAUAUUGUCCAAAAUAAAAUAUUGUCCAUUUUGGAAAAAAACGCUAUACCAAAUACAAGAUACAUGACCAAUAGAACAACAAUGAUACAAAAGUACAAUCCAAAGUCACACUUGCACUUCCACAACAUGUUUGCAUAAUGGAUCCACUUUUACACUCAACCGUUGAAAUUGGAGAGUUACCUAAAGGGGUAAAUAUGAUUUACUCAUGGUCACUACUACAGUGGAUACAUGUCAUUAUGACAUCAUUUUGGUUUCUUUUCCAUAUUAUUUUGAAGUUCUAACAACAAUUUUUUUAUUACUAGUAAAUAAAUUUUGAUUUUUAAUAUUUGUAUUAUGUUGUCUAUGAUUGUAACAGGGUUGUGAUGCAUCAGUUUUAUUGAACAAAACUGAUACCAUUGUGAGUGAACAAGAAGCUUUCCCAAAUAUCAACUCUCUACGAGGUUUGGAUGUUGUGAAUCAAAUCAAAACAGCAGUGGAAAAGGCUUGUCCUAACACAGUUUCUUGUGCUGAUAUUCUUGCCCUUUCUGCACAAAUUUCCUCAAUUUUGGUAUGCCUCAUCCUAACAUGAUUAAUAACAACUAUCAUUUUAAUUAUUAGUGAUGAUUAAUUAAAUUAAUACAUGUAUGUAUUGACAGGCAGAUGGUCCUAAUUGGAAGGUUCCCUUAGGAAGAAGGGAUGGUUUAACCGCCAACCAAUCGCUCGCUAAUCAAAAUCUUCCGGCUCCAUUCAAUUCGUUGGAUCAACUUAAAUCUGCAUUUGCUGCUCAAGGCCUCAGUACUACUGAUCUAGUUGCUCUCUCAGGUAUGCAAUGUUUUCUAAUUAAAAGUGCUCGAAUCACUUCGUUAUCAUGUAUAUAAUAACAAAUUAUAAGGCUAAUAUAUAUGCUUCAAAUGUAGGUGCUCAUACAUUCGGAAGAGCACGUUGCACUUUCAUCACUGAUCGAUUAUACAACUUCAGCAGUACAGGAAAACCUGAUCCAACUCUUAAUACAACUUAUUUACAAGAAUUACGUAAAAUAUGUCCUAAUGGUGGACCACCAAAUAACCUCGCCAAUUUUGACCCAACGACUCCUGAUAAAUUUGACAAGAACUACUACUCCAAUCUUCAGGGUAAAAAGGGUUUGCUUCAGAGUGACCAAGAGCUUUUCUCGACAUCUGGUGCUGAUACCAUUAGCAUUGUCAACAAGUUCAGUGCUGACAAAAAUGCUUUCUUUGAUAGCUUUGAAGCCGCCAUGAUUAAAAUGGGUAAUAUUGGUGUGCUGACCGGGAAAAAAGGAGAGAUUAGAAAACAUUGCAAUUUUGUUAAUUCAAAAUCAGUUGAACUUGGUCUAGUGAAUGUGGCUUCCACAGAUUCAUCGGGUAUGGUUAGCUCAAUUUAAGUACUUUAGGGUCACUAGUUUCAAAUGUAGUGAUUGGAGACCAUAAAUAAAGAUGUUAUGACUAGGCACAUUUGUGACUUGUGUCACAUAGUUACUAGGUGCUUUGUGAGGGAAGACUUUUUGUAUUUGAAGUAUUUCUUUGGGUUGUGUUCAUAAUCAAAUUUUCUCUAUCUUAUUUUGGACUUGUUUUGGCAAAAAUUUAUGAGUAACAUUAGUAUUUAUCUUAUGUGAAAAUUAUGAUGAUAAAAAAUUGACCAGGGGAGCUUAAAAAUUGACCAGACGAACUUAAAUACAUUUGCCAUUUCCUCUUCAAAAAUAUUGUUGGUUCUCAUUUUUCAAACCCCUCAAGUAGCUAACCAAAUUAUAUGCAUCACUUUCUUACUGCUCUUGAUUGCAACAACUCUCCAAAAAGCAAUAAAUGAUUCGACUACGAGAAAAUCGCGUGGUUCUCACCAAAUUUUUAAAGGAGCACAUGUUCCUUGGAAAAAAGAGUACAUCCAAGGAACCAAGUCCUUGGAAAACAUUUAGUGGAAAUAUUUUUUGAAUUCCAACAUCUAUGAGGAACAAAGUCCUUCGAAAACUGAGAGGCAAUAUUUUUUAAAUUCAACAUAUUGGAAGAACAAAGUCCUCAUAAAUGUCUGGAGAUCUAACCUUUAUAGAGCGUUUUUGUUGCUUUAAGAUGUGUGAUUCUAGGAUUUUUUUUUUAAGAAGUCAAACUAGCCAACCGAAAUUGACAUCGAGAAGAAUUGAAUUUGAGACCUUAAGAGAGCACACUCCACGGUCUUAAGCCAACACCAUCAAAACAACCCAAAUGGGUUUCCAAGAAAUCCUUUCUGAUGAGCAUUUUGAGGACCAAGUGCGUUGGAAACGAGCAUCAAGAAGACACAUUUUGCGCAUCAUAGCACAAGAAACUUUGAAGUCAUUGGAAGUCGCACAACUUUUCUAGGACAUCGUUCCUAGAAAAUAGGUUGUCCAAAAUUUAUCUUUAUAACUACACACUCUCUUCCAUAAUUUCUUCGGUUACAAUUCUCAUUCUUUUCUCCAUUAUUUCAUCUCUUAUUUUUUUUUCAUUUUAUUUCAUUUCUCCUUUUUUAAUCACUAUCUUCAAUCUCUUCAUCGUUUCAUUUCUCCAUGUUUUCUACAUUCUUUCAUUUUACACCGUCUUUUAUCAUUUCUUCAUUCUUUCAUUUCUCUCUCUUUUUUUCCCUUACUUCAUUCAUUUCUCAUUUCUCUUUUUUUUUUUCCUCCUUAAUUCAUUUCUCAUUUGUUUCUAUUCUAUCAUUUCUCCUUUUCCCAUAACAAAAUCACUAUUUCAAUUUAGAUUUUUUCAUUGAAGAUGGGGGAUUUAUUGAUUUUAUCAUUAAAUCAUUUCUAAUUAAAUGCAAAUCAAUUCAUUCAGAAUGAUUUUUUAGUUAUUUUAAUUUGGGUUUUUCUAUCAUGUGCAACUUUUUUCUCUAUUGUAUUUAUAUUUGAUAAAUGCCCGAAAACAAAGUGCAAUAAGACUUCUAGAGGAAUGGGAAUCAUCUUGAAGUUUGGUUAUGGUAGUUGUUGUAGAUUGCAUGGUUAUGUAAUACAAUCUCUAAAGUAGCUUAGCCCUAACCAAUCAAUCUUUAAGCUCCAAUUGUCCUAUAUAAAAAUUUGAAAUCUAAAAAUGUUAGAACAUUUGAGAAUCAAAGCAUAAUAUAGCACAUCAAUCCUUAGAGACUUUUGGAGUCAUCAACAUCCUUCCAUUCUUUACACACUUGCGAUUGAUCUGCAACAAUGGGCGGAUAGUGUUUUAUGUAGCAAACCUUCACAAUGUGACAUGCCAUUGUACAAUGACUACACACCUUGCGAUUGUUUGAUCUUUGAAUGGAACUACCGCAUCCUCUUCCUUGUGGUUUACGAAAUUCAAUAGAAUUUAUAAGGAUAUAUUGUUAGAGAAAAUUUUGUUGAUGUUAGGUAUAUGAUUCAUAAGAUGAAUAUGAGAUCGAACAAGAUCAAAAUUCUCAUUCAAACCAAAAAGAAGAUCAAAAUGUUUUUAGCUAUGUUUUUUAGUUUGUUUGUAUGCAUUUGAAGACAAUAUAGAGGUUUUUAGAGUGAGUUUCUCAUGGUGUUGGAAACGUUUUGUAAUGUUUUGAUUUUAGUCGUUGUAAUUCAAUUUGUUCCCUAAUUAACUAGACAACUUCUUAUUUGUUUUGAGUCUUUUAUGAUCAAAUUAUGUAGUUGGACGACACCUCAUGGAAGUUAUGGAAGCUAAAGAAUGAAAAACAACAAAGGUUUUAAGACAAGACAAGUUGGAGAAAUUAUGUUCCAAGUUCCAAGAGCAAGUCGAGAAAAAAAAUAGUUAAAGAACGAAGAAAAACGAAAAAAAAUACAUCUGAGCCACGUGACACGAGUAACCCUGUGCACCCUGCACAUGGAAUGCUUAUAAAGGUCAACUGGCCAUGUCUUAAUGCGACCCCCGUGUGCCGAGCAAGAAAAAUAACUUUUUGUUGUUUUUUUCGAUUGCAUGCAGGGGGAAAAUUCUAGUAACCCAGUGCAAACCCAAUGCGAAAAUGCCUAUUUUAAGGCCUUUGUUCACCUAAAAAUAUUCAUUCAGAAACAUGACGGUUUAAAGGCAAACAUGGACAACCAAAGCAUUAAAAAUAAGUUGUUUCCUACCUCUUUCCAUUUGUUAUAUAAUAUGUUUUGUUUUUACUUGAUUAUUUAUUCAGUUACCAUGAGUAAAUAAACACCUUAAGAUUAGGGUUCUAACAUGAAAUUAUAAUUAUUCGUGGGAAUGUUAUAAUGCUUGAUUUCUUUAUUCAAUUAUGAUCUGAGUUAUGCCUAAAAAAAUAUGAUAUGAGUUAUAUUUACUUGAAACCCGUAGACUUUGAAUUGAUCUUAGGUUCAGAUUUAUAGAUUGACAUAUUUCUCUAACUGAAAUCGUUAUUUAUGUAUUUUGCUCAAGAGUCAUUAAAAAACCUAGAGAUUCUUAGUAUUAUGGUUAGGUUCUAAGACACGUGUGCAACUGCAAAUCCUUACCGUGUCAAUAAUACGAUUAUGACGUGUCAUAUGUUUGUUCACAUAUAAUUCCAUUAAAUAGUUUAGUUGCAACAUGACAUUUUGGAGUCAAUUACCUGUGGGAGGAUAAGUCCAUGAAUUAUAUAUUCCUUAGGCUAUAUUUGGUAUGGAACAAUCUAAAAUUUGGAGGGCGAACAAUCUUCGACACACAUGGGGUUAACCAUCGUUUAUAUAGUCUUAAGGUCAUAUUUGAUCGGAAACAUGCAUUAAUCCAAUAAAGAGGUAUAGGGAAUUCAAAUAAUCUUAAUCGUUGUUAAAUCAUUUGAAUUUCUUCACAAAUUAUCUUAAGAGUGUGUUUGGAUGGGGGAAUGUUUUGAGGGAAUGUAUUGUUUUAAGGGAAUUCAAAUACUUUGGGGUGAAUUACAUUGUUUGGAUAAUAAUUUGAAGUAUUUUCAAAAUGAUGGAAAUUUAUGAAGUAUUUUGUUCAAGUUAAAUUUAGAGAAUUUUAAAUGACACCUAAAAGCUAAGAAUUUCAAAUUUCUUUAUUGUUGUUAUUUUUCAUAUUUUGCAUUUUGGUCCUCAAAUUUUCCAAAAAUUUUAAAUUGACCCCAAUAAAUUUCCAAAAAUUGCAAAUUGGUCCCUCAAUUUUUUCGAAAAUUAUAAUUUGACCCCUCAAUUUUUUGAAAUUUACAUUUUGACCCCUAAUUUCAAUUUUCAAAUUUGGCCCAAAAAAAUUAAAAUUUAUAAAAGUUGCCCAAAAAUGAUGACAAUGAAUUUUUUUAUUACUUCAUCCAAACAAAAGAAUUAAGAAAUGAAAUUAAUUUAAUGGAAUCAUUUAAAUUGUCUAGGAUUCUAAAUUCUUUAAAAUUUCUCAAUUACCUCAUCCAAACACACUUUAAAAGUAUUGAAAAUUUCUAAAACGGAUCCAAAAUUUUGCUUAAAGUAAAAAAUUUCACAUUGUAAUUUAGAAAUGCAAAGGAGGAAAUACAAGUAUGUAAUAAAUUAUGGUACAUGUAUUUGUACAUGUUGUAUAGAUUUUUGACAAAUUGACAAACUUAGUACAUAAAGAACAAGUUUGAGUAAUUUAUUUAUAUAUUUACGACUUUAAUGGGAAAAAAAUUGUGAUUUUGUUAUGGACUGAGCUUUGACCAACAUUGUUGGUCCAAUGCAUAGAGGCUCAUUAAUGUGUAAUAUUCUCCAUUCAUGACAAUACAUCAAAUCUCAUGUACGCCUCAUCACAUAGGAGAAAUUCUCAUCAUAUCCUAAUCGUUCAGCUAAUCUCCCGUGCCUUGUGCUGAAUUUCUAGAAAACUUUUAAAAUGUCUCAAACUAUAUAAGUGUGACUUUGCAUGACAUUCGAUGUACAAUUACAUUUGAACAUAUUUUCACAUACUUUUCCUUCCAUAAUUUCAUACUGACUUGAGCAUUGGAGUGCUAACCCUUUUUACAAGUUUCUUCCCCCUCGUACACUGCGCCAGAGAAUAAUUUCCCAUGCACCAUAAAUCUUUCUCCAUUGGUCCUGAUUCUUUGUUGCAUGAGCAUUGUCACCCGAUAACCUUCACUUUGGUCCACUCCGUAUUAUUUGCGUCGUCUAUGGGAACUAUGCAUUGUUUCCCUCGAACUUCCUCAAAUCCACUACCUUAAUUGUUUUCUGCUAUACUUUCCAAUGGACAGAUCUUCUCCAUCUUAGGCUAAAAACAUCAAUUUUGAUACUCCCAACACCAUUGGGACUCCCCAUUCUAUGUUGCCACUAUUGCAAGAUUGUGUUGAUCUUGUUAUGUCUUUUGCGCAUGAAGGAAACACAAACACCAACCUUUCUCUAGUUAUUGAAUGUCGCGUCGCCACCAUUCUUUCUCCAAUUUAUCAAGGUGAAAGUCUCCCCUACCGGAAAGAAUGAGACUCUUCGUGAAUAUAUUGAAAGGUUCACUAAAGAGGAAGUAGAAGUCUGGGGAGUAAAUGACAAAGUUAAAUGCUUCGGCUUUAAAAAUGGCCUAAGGCCCAAUUGCAUGCAUGUAUAGGGGGGAGUUAGGUCUUGAAGUGCUCAAAAAUAUGAGUGAGUUGCUAGUAGAAGCUAAACCCUUCAUUAACUACAAAGAAAAGCUGCUUGUAAAUGAGAUAGUGAAAAAUUAAGAUAACCUAGAAUAUUUGAUAUGUCAUGGACACAUCAAAAUUAAGUUAUAAUUUAGGCAAAAUGCAACAUUGAGUUUUUAAGUUUAAUGUUUGUAACAAUAUAAUUUUUGAGUUUCUCCAAAUAAAAAUGAUUUUAUACUAUGAAGAAAUAUUAAUCCCUCAAAGUCUUUCCUUCUUAAUGCCAUCUAUUUCUUCCAUUUACUUCUUUCUUUUUUCCAAAUCUCUCCAUCUUUUUCUCUCCAAACUUGCAAACAAAGUUGGACCACGAAGAUCCAAAAUUUAAUCUUAAAAUAACUCAUAGCAUACUUUUCGCAUAGAAUUACUUGAGAGGAAAAGUUUACUCAGUUUAUAAAUGGCUUUACCUAAUAUUUUAAGGCGGGAAUAAUCAUUGUACCCUAACAUAAAGCAAAAACGUACUAGUUGAACUAGUAAUAAUGGCAUCGAUCAGUCCUCAUAGAAAAAUCAAAGGUGUCAAAAUUGAAAAAGAAAGCUCUACACAACUUGCCAUCGGAGCUGGGAAAGCACUCUUUGCUUUAAUGCAACAAUUCCAACCUAACUUUAACAGGUUAUAAUUCUCUAAAUUCCUCUAACUUUAACAAAAGUUAAUAUCCUUGUGAUUUUCAAGAGAAAUUCUUAACUUUUUUAUAGUAAAAAGUACAGAGCUCUAAUAUUUAUGAGACUUGUGUUUAUAAUUGAUUUUAAGAUUAGAUUCAACGAAUAUCCUAUUGUGUUUAUGUGGCUGCCUGGCUUUGGUGAGCCUGCUUUAUUCUCUCUUUACUCAGCUUUUGGUGCUAUGUGGGUUUUGGGUGGUUUUUUUGUGUUCUCUUUAUGCCUUUAUAUUGCCUUUUAUUUUAUUGUUUUUAGUUCUACUGUAGUGCAAUUGUUUAUUCAUCUCAUUUUUUAAUCAAAAAAUUAAAUAAUAUUAUGUAAAAGAUUUGUUUUUUUAAAGGAAAAAUAGAGUUGUUGUUAGAAUUAUAAUUUAAAUGAGGGUCUUGCUAACUGUGUCUUGUUAAGGAUUCAAAAAUAAAAACAAUAUCUUUUAUGCCGAUAAAAGCAUUUAUUAGGAUUUUUUUUUGUCAAGUAGCCUAGUGGCUAGAGCUAACACAAUUUAUUGUGGAGAAGUGGGGUAUCCGAGGUUCGAACCACAAUCCCUACACAUAAUAUGCAAUAUUUCUACCAACUGAGCUAAACUCACGGGGAUAUAAAUUGAAGGAUAAAUAAUGAUAUAAAUCGAAGAUAAAUAAGAAUCAUGUAUGCCCUUUGCAAGCACUAAGAUAAUAAAAGUAAUUUUUUAUUAACAAAAGUAUUUUUACGAAUAGCUAAAACAAACUCACCCAAAAUCUUUCCUACGAGUCAUCAUUAUGUUGUCCAAAAUGUUCAUUACAGACUAAAAAUGGCAUGAAUAUAAAGAUAUUUUUGAACAAAUUCGUGCCGCCCACGUGCCUUCUUCAGCAGAACCAUGUCUUGGACAAGAUACAAUGGAUUUCAUGAGUGACAUUGAGCAACAUUAUUUCCCUAAAAAAAAAAAAUUGAGCAACAUUGUUCGUGGCUGGCUUUUAUGGGGUGGACAACUAAGAGUAUUUCUUUGUCUAUAACUUUAAAAUAUAAUAUUUUUUAAAUAAAAUUAUAUUUAUUAUUUGUUUCUAUUUUUGAAUGCUUAACAAAUAUCUUUAAGGGCAUUUUGUUGGUAUGGUACGUAAUUUAUUUGGUCAAUAUUGGUGUGACCAUUUACUACAACCACAAGCUAGCCUUUACUAGGAGUCAUGAGUGGCACAUGCCCAUUUAAUUUGGCUAUCUAUAAAUGUAAGAGCCAUUUAUGAAGAAUCUCAAACUCAAUCUCACAACAAAAAUGAACUCUCUUCGUGCUGUAGCAAUAGCUUUGUGUUUUAUUGUGGCUUUGUUUGGAGUGUUACCUUUCCCUUCCAAUGCACAACUUAAUCCAUCCUUUUAUAGCAAAACUUGUCCAAAUGUUAGUUCCAUUGUCCGGGAAGUCAUAAGAAACGUUUCUAAGACAGAUACUCGUAUGCUUGCAAGUCUUGUUAGGCUUCACUUCCAUGACUGUUUUGUUCAAGUAUGUAUACUUUACCUUCUACUUGUAAAUGAUUUGUAUUAUGCUAAUGUUAUAAUCAUAAUGUAAAUAAUGUAAUCUAUGACUUGAACAGGGUUGUGAUGCAUCAGUUUUGUUGAAUAACACUGCUACUAUUGUCAGUGAACAAGAUGCUUUUCCAAACAGAAACUCAUUGAGAGGUUUGGAUGUUGUGAAUCAAAUCAAAACAGCAGUAGAAAAGGCUUGCCCUAACACAGUUUCUUGUGCUGAUAUUCUUGCUCUUGCUGCUGAAUUAUCAUCUACACUGGUAUAUAUAUGCCUCAUCCUUUAUUAUAUAGUAUUUUUAUCCACCAUUGAAUUUCAAAUGGAAAUUCUUAUUGACUCUUUUUGUUUUGUGAUGUAAUAAAAUAGUCUCAAGGUCCUGAUUGGAAAGUUCCUUUAGGAAGAAGAGAUGGUUUAACAGCAAACCAAUCACUUGCUAAUCAAAAUCUUCCAGCUCCUUUUAACUCAUUAGAUCAACUCAAAGCUGCAUUUGCUUCUCAAGGCCUCAGUACUACUGAUCUAGUUGCACUCUCGGGUAUGUAACAUUUUUAAAGUUUUUGUUUAAAAAUUUCUAAUUAGUAGUAUGUAUGAUUAUUGAUCUAUAUCUGUUUCAAUUGCAGGUGCUCAUACAUUUGGAAGAGCUCAUUGCUCUUUAUUUGUUAGUCGAUUGUACAACUUCAGCAAUACGGGAAGUCCCGAUCCAACUCUUAACGCAACUUACUUACAACAAUUGCGCAAUAUAUGUCCCAAUGGUGGACCUGGAACUCCCCUUGCAAGUUUUGAUCCAACUACUCCUGAUAAAUUUGACAAGAACUAUUACUCUAAUCUUCAAGUGAAAAAAGGUUUGCUUCAAAGUGAUCAAGAGUUGUUCUCAACAUCUGGUGCUGAUACCAUUAGCAUUGUCAACAACUUUGCCACUGAUCAAAAAGCUUUUUUUGAGAGCUUUAAGGCUGCUAUGAUUAAAAUGGGAAAUAUUGGUGUGUUAACCGGGAACCAAGGAGAGAUUAGAAAACAAUGCAACUUUGUUAAUUCAAAAUCAGUAGAACUAGGUCUUGUCAAUGUUGCCUCAACAGAGGAGGGUAUGGUUAGCUCAAUGUAAAUGUAGUGACUGGAGCCAAAUAAUAAAUAAGCUAUAACUAGGCACAUUCAUGGUAUGUGUUACAUAUCCUUAAAAAAAAAAAAAAAAUGGUAUGUGUUACAUAGUUAUUAGGCGUUUGGUGAACAAUUUGUUUUUAUUUGGUACAAGUUUCUUUUUUUAUGUGAAGUACUCCCUCUAUUCCUUUUUAUGGGAUCUUGUAACGAAAAUCACGAGUAUUAACAAAACUUGUUGGAAUAAUAAAUUUGUCACAAAUAUGUAUGACUAUUACUAAAUUACUCUUUGUUAUAAAUAAGCAACAUGCUAUAUUAGUCUAUUAAUUCACUUAUCUAUCUUAACAUAUAUCAUAUUAUUUGUUUAAAUAUAUUCAGAAGAAAUAGUCUUUUAAACAAGAUACAAGUUAUAUCACCCUUUAGAAACCAAGAAACAUACCUAAAAAAUAUACCUACGAUAGGCUACAAAUCAAACUUAAACCUUAAAUGUUUUGACAAAUUAUAUCGGAUCUUGCAAAGCCUAACUCGACUUAACAUAUAUUUACCCCUUAUCACUAUGGAAGAUUUCAUGUGCCUGAGGUCUUCAGGUUUGAUAACAAUGUGGUUGGCUACAUGCGUGUAUAUAUGGAAAUGUUAACUUGUGUCCUUAGAUCACAUUUUUUGGAACUUAAUUAGAGUGGAAAUUUUGUCUAGGAAAUCAUGUCAAUUUAUUCUUCUAGAGAUUGAAAGUUAAUGUUUUGUAAUAAAUAUUUAUCAUUUAUGGAAUCUUUAGCUAAUAUAUAAAUGACUUUAUCGUUAAUAUAAGCGGAUGUCCAUAUAACAAUUGGGUUAAUGAGUCAUAAUAUUAGACCAUGCAUAUUAUAUUGUUUGUUCUCCAAGUUAUCUCUGUAAAUAAAACUCAAAUGUAACCUAAUUAUACACCACAAAAUAAUAAUAAUAAUAGUAACAAUAAAAUAUUUUUUCUCGGAUUAAUCGAUUUUUUGAUCGGAUACCGAGUUUUCAAAAAAGAAGAAAAAAUAAUAAUAAUAAUAAUAAUAAAAUAUUUAUCUCUCUUCUAUCCCUUCCUCCCCUUUCUUUAUUCUUGUUCUUAUUUCCUUAGUUUCAUAACAAUUAAUUUAUUGAUUUAGAAAACAAUUAUACAGAAACACUUUAAUUUAUGAGUGUGCCACAGACGCUUUCAACAUACAUGUUUGUAUAUCGGUUUUGAUGGGCUGUGUCUGACAUAAAAUUGGCGAGCUUUGUAUUUGCAUAUAAAGUGUGCCUCAUUCUUUGGGUUUUAUUUGAGUUUUUAUAUUAAUUUUUUUACCAUUCAAAUAAAAGAAGACCAAAACAACUUGGGUCAUAGUUUUAGUGCAACUUGGUGGCAUAGGAGAUACCAAUUUGCACGGAAAAGUGAUAAGUUCUGUCAAAAAAUAAUUAUUAUUUAAGUCUGGCAGGACCAGGGAGGGAUGAGAAUGAGGGAGAAAUGCUUAUUAUAGAUUAAUGAUCAAAUCAACAACGAAGAAAAGAAAAUGCUUAACAAGAUUAAUUAUUUUCUUUUUACAAACGUUCGAUUAAAUUAUUAAAAAUGUAUACGUUUGGAUCAAAAUUUUAAAAUAAUUUUUGACUGUGCAUUUUGUUAAUCAAAUUAAAUGUUUCAUUAACAUUAUCAUAUUUGUCUUUUUAUAAGAUACAAUGGAUUUCAUUGAGUGACAAUGAGCAACAUCGAUUCGUGUGGUUGGCUUUUAUGGGGUCCACUUAUACGAGUAGCACGAUAUGUAUAGUAGUACUAUUUGGACCUUGUUUUAUUCGGUCAAUUUUCACACCUCAAUGGUAAUAAUGUUCUCACACAUCAACCACAAGCCUUUUCUAGGAGCCAUUCACGACUCAUUGUCCCUUCUUUUUCUAUAAAUAAGUGCUUAUUUUAUACACAUUCUCAGUAUCACUUUCACUUUCACUUUCACAACAAACAAUGAACUCCCUUCGUGCUGUAGCAAUAGCUUUGUGCUGUAUUGUGGUUGUGCUUGGAGGGUUACCCUUCUCUUCAAAUGCACAACUUGAUCCAUCCUUUUACAGGAACACUUGUCCAAAUGUUAGUUCCAUUGUUCGUGAAGUCAUAAGAAGUGUUUCUAAGAAAGAUCCUCGUAUGCUUGGUAGUCUUGUCAGGCUUCACUUUCAUGACUGUUUUGUUCAAGUAUGUAUAAUAUUCAAUCAUUCACUAACUACAUGUUCUAUUUUGCUCAUUGCGUAUGACAUGCUAUAAAUUCUUGAAAUCUUAGUAUACCUAUAAUCCUAUAGUAGUAUGAUCUUCCCAUUUAAGUAGAAUUAGUACAUAGUAAGAUAUAAUAUAAACUAGAACAAGAUCAAAUAUAGCAAAUAAAGAAUAUGUUUAGCAUGUCCUUAUGCUGCCCCUAUAUGUUAUACAAUCCAAAAAUGAAAAAAAAAAAAAAAAUCUUAAUUUUGUGUCUUAAACAUAACUUGUGUUUAAGGGCACAAAUUAACAUUCACUCUGCUCAUUAAGAAAAUAUUAAGUAAUAUAUCUAGCAAAUGAAUUGAGUUGGAAUAGUGACUUUACUUACUUACCCGGCUGAACCAAAUUCUAAAAAUUUGAGGGUUGAAAUAAAUGAAAAAUAGAAUACUAUUAGAUAUAUUUACCCUUUUGUUUUAUUAUUAAAAUAUAAUCAUUCAUUAGUAUGUCCAAUAAUUAUAGUUUAAAGUGUAUGUCUAAUAAUUAUAGUUUAAGGUUUUUUUCCUUUUUAGUGAGAGAUUUUUUUUUUUACUCAUUUAGAAGCAAUGGAGCAAGUUUUUUUUUUCAAUUAGCAAAGACAUUGUAUAAAAAACUAUGGCAUCAACCUUUUAAAUUGUACGGUUGAAGUUAAUUUUUAUUAUGCUAUUGUUAUAAUCAUAAUGUAAAUUAUGUGAUCUAUAUACUGUAACAGGGUUGUGAUGCAUCAGUUUUACUGAACAAAACUGAUACCGUUGUGAGUGAACAAGAUGCUUUUCCAAACAGAAACUCAUUAAGAGGUUUAGAUGUUGUGAAUCAAAUCAAAACAGCUGUGGAAAAGGCUUGUCCUAACACAGUUUCUUGCGCUGAUAUUCUUGCCCUUUCUGCUGAAUUAUCAUCUACACUGGUAUAUAUAUGCCUCAAACUGUACUAUAUAUUUUUCUCAUUUACCAUUGAAUUUUCAAAUCCAAUUAUUAAUUCUGCUUAUUUGUUUUGUGAUGAAAUAAAAUAGGCAGAUGGUCCUGACUGGAAAGUUCCUUUAGGAAGAAGAGAUGGUUUAACAGCAAACCAAUUACUUGCUAAUAAAAAUCUUCCAGCUCCUUUCAAUACUACUGAUCAACUUAAAGCUGCAUUUGCUGCUCAAGGUCUCGAUACUACUGAUCUGGUUGCACUCUCGGGUAUGUAACAUUUUUAAAGUUUUUGUUUAAAAAAAUCUAAUUGGUCGUUACAAUGAUGACGCCAAUGUUACAAUAAUAAUAUAUUUGAUUAUUGAUUUAUAUAUGUUUCUCGAUUUCAGGUGCUCAUACAUUUGGAAGAGCUCAUUGCUCUUUAUUUGUUAGCCGAUUGUACAACUUCAACGGUACAGGAAGUCCGGAUCCAACUCUUAACACAACUUACUUACAACAAUUGCGCACAAUAUGUCCCAAUGGUGGACCUGGCACGAACCUUACCAAUUUCGAUCCAACGACUCCUGAUAAAUUUGACAAGAACUAUUACUCUAAUCUUCAAGUGAAAAAGGGUUUGCUCCAAAGUGAUCAAGAGUUGUUCUCAACAUCUGGUUCAGAUACCAUUAGCAUUGUCAACAAAUUUGCAACCGAUCAAAAAGCUUUUUUUGAGAGCUUUAAGGCUGCUAUGAUCAAAAUGGGAAAUAUUGGUGUGUUAACUGGGAAACAAGGAGAGAUUAGAAAACAAUGCAACUUUGUUAAUUCAAAAUCAGUAGAACUAGGUUUAGUCAAUGUGGCUUCCACAGAUUCAUCAGAUGAGGGUAUGGUUAGCUCAAUGUAAUUGUAGUGAUUGGAAGCAACUAAUAAAUUAAUAAGCUAUAACUAGGCACAUUCAUGGUAUGUGUGAGAUAGUUGUUAGAUGCUUUGUGAGCUAAAAUCGUUUGUAUUUCAUUUGAAGUGUUUCUUUGAGUUGUGAGUUGAUAAUGAUCAUUUUCUGUUUCUUAUUUCGGACUUGCUUUAGCAUUAAUUUUACAAGUUUUAAGUUAAUGGAGUGCAAGACAAAGACAUCUCUUACACUAGAUUUAUCCACUUUGUAUGAUAUUUCCCAUUAAUUUACAUGCUAAUUUUGUAUAAAAAAGUAAUAAGCAAGUAUCUCCAUGGUAUAUAUUCGUAUAUUUUCUAUUACUCAACAAACUUAGUAAAAAAAAAAAAAGGGUCAUUUCAUUUAUCACCGGAUGAUAUUGAACAAUUUAUCAAUUUUACGACUUUAAAAAUCAGUGAUUUGUUCUUACUUUAGGCUCGGUCAUACAAAUACUGAUGUUAUUACCUCUUUUUUUUUUUUUUUUUUUUUUUUUUUGGAAAAAUGAUGUUAUUACCUCUUUUGAAUUAAGUUAUGGAUUCUCCAAUCCACAUAAUUUUAACACAUGACCCCAUAUAUAUGCGCGGCUAAUUUAAUCUCAUCUAAAAAGCAUGAAGAAAUAAGUUAGUAAACAUACCCUUCCAUUUACUUUGACAAAAAAACUCAAGUCUUUCUUUUCAAAUAUGGUGACAUUGGUGGUAUAUACUUAAAUCCCUUAAAAAUUUGAUUUAAGUAAUGUUUAUUUAGUAAAUAUACUUUAUUAAGCAGACUCUCUUUUCAUAAGGUUCAUAAAUUUUAAUAAUUAAAAUAUUAUUUCAUUGUUUAAAUAUGGUGAUGUAUAAUUAUUGAUUGAAAUCUAAUUUAGAAAAUUUUGUUUGAGAGAUGUUAAAUUGAAGAGACGAGUAAGACUUGAUAAGUCACAAACCCAAAUCAUUUUGAUUUGGGAACACACACAUAAGUAAGGAAGAUAAAAGAAAAUAAAUUAAAAACUCCAAAUUGGAUAUGUAUGUUUAAGUGCGUGCGCGUCCAAAUUAUUUUUGUCUAAGAUUAUGUAUUGUGCCCAAACCAAUUAAUGUUGCUCUAAAGAGAUUGAAGGUUUAUUUAUUCCUAUAAGAUUAACUUACUGUUGUGAAUUCGAACUCAAAACUCAUACCAAUACAAACUAUGAUGUGUGGAGCAAAUAAAAGUAGUAAUCAAUAUCAAAGUGAACACAAGCAACAACAAUAAUAACAACAGCUAGAUCUAAUCUAGUAAUCAAAGUGAAAAGCUCAAAACCACAAACAAAAGAUAAAGAGAGAAGAGAAACAAACACACCAAAGAUUGUUGACCCAGUUCGGUCCAACUUGACCUAAUCUGGGGGAGAGGUUGAUCUCUCCAAUCCACUAUCUAAGAGUUCUUACAAAGUGAUACAAAUGGGUUACAAGAAAUUAGCUUAAACAAGCUCACAAAGAACAAAUCUAAUUUCUACCCAUUUUCCCAAUUUCACCAAUGAACAAGAGACUCAAUGAUUUUCACUCACCCAAGGUGUUUACAAUGUUUCCCAACCCAAGAGAACUCUAAUCAAAGACCCUCAACCCUAAAGUUACCUCCUUUGAUUUCCCAAGUUUUCCUCUCUUGAAGUUCUCUCUCUUUCCUCCUUCAAAAAUGAGCUGAAACACUUAAAGAGUACACAGUGAUAGACAAAAUCGCGAUGCGCCAGUGAAAAUCGCGCCACAGUUGAAGCGUGCGACCCAAGGUACGACAACCUUAUCCACAAACCGCGUCACGCCUGCACCAAUCGCACCAUGAUUUGCCUUCAGCAGAAACCAUCCAUUCUGCCACCAAAAUCGCGCCACGCCUCCCAAAAUCACGGCACGAUUUUGGCAUUUCACAACAUCACAAUUUGAAGACAAUUUCAACACUUGUCUUUAGAGCACAAAUUAAGAAAUCAAAGAUGAAAAUAUUUUGUUGGAAAUUGUGCAUUCAAUAUUCUAGAAAUUUAAAAUCUUAUCUUCUCAAGACAUAAUUUACUACUAUAAUUUAAUUUCAUUUUUAAAUUCUUAACUUGUAUCCUAAAGGUACAAGUUAACACUACCCAAAUUAUAAAUGAAUGAUGUAGUAUUUUUGGAACCACUUAAAUGACAAGUCAACACUCCCAAAAUUACCCGAUUUUCAUUUGCUUUUUAAAAAACUGAAAUAUGAGGAAGGUCAUUGUGAGAAUGAUAUGAUUGAUAAACAAAAUCUACUUUGUUUAUAAAUGCUAUUACCUAACAUAUACAGGUGGCGAUAAUCAUUGUAGCAUAAGAUAAAGCAAAACAGGUAAACUAAUAAUGGCAAGAGUAAUGAUAUUUGAACAAAUUUUUUGGUACAGCUUUUGGGACAAUCUUGUUGUGUUCUCUUUUUAUUGGUCAAAAACAAUAUAGAGAGAAAAAGGAAGAGAAAAAAUAAGAAGAUAAUAUGAGUAUGAGAGAGAAGGUUGUACAAAAAUUAUAUAAAAAUGAUUGUACAAAUAUCAUUUCUCUAAUGACAAAGAUAGAUAAGUCCACAAAAAAAUGUCAUAAUGAAGGUGUCGAAUGUCGAAAAAGAAAACUCUAUGAAGACCCAACAAGUUGGGGCGAGCUUUAAUGCAAUACUUCCAGCUAAGGCGGAUCCAUAAAUGUGCAAGAUAGGGCUUCAAAAAAUAUAAAUAAUCGGGGCCGGCUAUAACUUGUGCAAGCAUAAAAACUACAUAUUAGUUCUAAUUUGUUGCUGUUCAACCGUCUCAAAGUAAUACUCUCGUCAUUUCAGAAUAAAUGUUGUUUAUAAAAGUUUUGUAUUAAAAUAAUCGCUGUUAUGCUUUUUCAAUGCAACUUUAAUAAAUUUAUUCUAAGUUUGCUCUCACAUUAAUCUUAUAUGCACAACUUUUAAAUCAUUAUAUUUCACUUUGACAUUAAUGAUUUAAAUGUUAUAUUACUCUUAUAUUAAUCUUAUAAGCAAAAAAUUAUGCAUUUUAGAUUCAUUCAAUUAAUGAUGUAUGUGGGCUUUAUUAUAGACCACAUACAUCAUUCAGUUUAACAUAGUCGAGUAUAAACAAAAACUUGGUUGAGUUUUCUCGAGUUUAACACGUGUUAACUCGGUCAAACUCGCCAAACAUCUCGAUUUUACCAGAAACCGAGUUUACCUCCGAGUUAACACGAUUUCAGCACCUAAAAACGUAAAUUCGUCCGAGUUUACGAGUUAACACUCAAUUUGUGGAACAUUAUCCUCAAUCCCACGUAUUACUCAACUGACUUGAGAAAAAAAAAUGCACUCUUCCCGAUUCAAUUGUCUUAGCCUUCGCUUAAAUUUUCACCAACUAGAAGGACCCUCGCCUAAUCACACAUCAGCCGAUGUCGAUUAAUAAAGUAAUUAGUUUUAGGUUAGGUUUAAACAUAGUCAUAUGCCAAUCUAGCAAGUUAAUUUUCAUAUAUCAAAAUAGUUUUUGGAAAAAUAUACAUUGUUGACAAAUUUCAUAUACACAUAAUUUUUCUUAAUUAUUGUGUAUUAGUGAAGAGAGUUUUUCAUAUAUGGAUAUAUGUGGUAGCGUGUUUGUCCGUUUCAUUAAAAAGUCACCAUUCCCUUUACUAAUUACUUUCCAUUUUAGGAGAAACACUCUUUUAUGGGUCCCACCAAAAACUCUUUUCUUCUCUAUUUAUUUGGUAACCAAACAAAGGAAAUAGUAUACUCCUCUUUUAUCUCCAACCUCUCUCUUUCGUUCUAGUUUCCUAUGGAGCUAAACAAAUAUGCUAAAGUUUGAGGGAGUAAAUGCCAGCAAAUUGAGAUGAAGAUAUUUUGAAUUCUGAACAAAUUCGUGACGACCACGUUCCCGUAUAGACAGAGCAAUUUGAUUUAGGUAAAAAUACAACAAAGGAUUUCAACAUUGAAAAUAAGAAACUUCGAUGGUGAUUUGCCAUCUUUGUGGUCCACACAUGAGAGACGUGACACUAUAGCUAGUACAACUAUUUGUAUUUACACGUUACUCCCUCCGUCCCAAAUUGUACGACGUUUUCAGACAUAUUAAAAAAUACAAUUAAUAUUGUCUGGAAAAGAGAUAUUAUGAGUUGUUUUACAAAAUUGUCCUUAAUAAAUAAUAUGGGAAAGAUAAAUGAAAGAAUUGAAAGAAGAGAGGGUAAUAAAUAAUUAAGAUUAUAACAGAAAAAGUAACAUUAAUGUUGUAUUGGUAUUGUAAAGUGACAUAUAAUUUAAGUUAAAUUUUUUUCCCUAAAGCGACAUACAAUUUGGGACGGAGGGAGUAGUUUUUAGGUCAAUAGUUACACCUUAAACCCUUAAUAAUUGCUAGGCAAUGUUCUCACCGUUCAUUGCACAACAAGACUUUAUUACUAGCCAUUAUAUUUGUAUGUCUAUAAAUAAAUGCUCACAAUAAAUUAUAAGCACAUUCUCACUCUUCAAAACAAUGAACUCCUUAGCAACUUCUAUGUGGUGUGUUGUGCUUUUGGUUGUGCUUGGAGGACUACCCUUUUCCUCAGAUGCACAACUUAGUCCCACUUUUUACAGCAAAACUUGUCCAACUGUUAGUUCCAUUGUUAGCAAUGUAUUAACAAAUGUUUCUAAGACAGAUCAACGCAUGCUUGCUAGCCUCGUCAGGCUUCACUUUCAUGACUGUUUUGUUUUGGUAUGUCUUUAGGUGACUACUUUAUAUUUCUAAUAUUAUCUUUAGAUUUAUAAAUAUUAGUUUAAAAUAUAUUAUAAUACAAUAUGGUUAGUUCGAUCCAUGCGCAACUCCUAUAUAUUAUACAACUAAAAAUGGUAAAUAAUUGUCUACUACAACUGAUCAACAGACGUUUCCUAAAAAAAACGUCAAUUAGAUAUAUCUUCAUUUGUCCCUUUGAAAUUAACUGUCUUUUGAUCGAACUUUUAUUAUAAUGUCCCUUUUACAAAAUAGAAGGAUUAGAACAAAGAAACAAUAGAAAAAUAAUUCUUAAACACCUAAAACCAUUCUACCAUUAAAGAAAGAAGAAAUAAAUGGAAAUAAUAUAUGUGAUAGGUUGUUGAUAUAAUAGGAAGAGAGAGAUGAAGAGAAAAUAAAUGUAGAAGUAGAAUGUACGUAAGAAAAGUAAGAGAGAUGCAAAUAGGGUUCUAAUAAUUGUCUUGCACUUCUUUUCUUUAUAUUUUAUAAAAUUAUGCAUUAACUAGUAUUUUCUAAAAAUUGUAGGCCAAGUAUAUGAAUCAACUUUCUUUUUUAAGUUUUUAACUUUCAAGUAAAUUUUUAAUAUGCUUUUUUACCAUAUGUUCUUUAAUUUAUGCGUCAAAAAAUAAUGUGAUGCAUAAUUUUCACAGGGAUGUGAUGCCUCGGUUUUGUUGAACAAUACUGCUACGAUCGUAAGCGAACAACAAGCUUUUCCAAAUAACAACUCUUUAAGAGGUUUGGAUGUUGUAAAUCAGAUCAAAACUGCUAUAGAAAGUGCUUGUCCUAACACAGUUUCUUGUGCUGAUAUUCUUGCUCUUGCUGCUCAAGCAUCCUCUGUUCUGGUACAUAUGCCCUAAUUCUAAAUAUAUUUCUGUAAUUUAAUGCCUCGUUGAUCAUUAAAUUUCAAAUGCAAUAUUUAAAUGAUUCUAUUUCUGUUCUGAGUAUAUAAUACUAUAAUAUAUGCAUUUGAUAAUGGUUGCAAUCCAACAAAAAUGAUCAUAUAGUUAAUUAAGGUAGCGGCGCCGUCUGUAUUUUGUUUUCAGUUUUUGCCGCGAGUUUUUAUGCGCCUUGCAUUUACUCGACGUGAAUAAAUUUUCCGUUUCAAAAAAAAAAGUUAAUUAAGGUAGCUUCAAAAUCUAGGGUUAUUUUUAUAAUGAUUAAAUAAAAAAACCAUUUCAAGAAGUUAAUCAUCUAUGAAAAUUAAAUACUACAUCACAAGGCUAAGAGUAACACUUAUUUUACCUAUGAUGAAAUAAUACAGGCACAAGGUCCUAGUUGGACAGUUCCUUUAGGAAGAAGGGAUGGUUUAACUGCAAACCGGACACUUGCAAAUCAAAAUCUUCCGGCCCCAUUCAAUACCUUGGUUCAACUUAAAGCUGCAUUUACUGCCCAAGGCCUGAAUACUACUGAUCUAGUUGCACUCUCGGGUUUGUGCUCAUUUUAGCGAUGAUGUUGACGUUACAUAAAAUAAAAAUUAUAUAUAUGAUUAUUGAUUUAUAUAUGUUUCUCGUUUUCAGGUGCUCAUACGUUUGGAAGAGCUCAUUGCGCACAAUUUGUUGGUCGAUUGUACAACUUCAGCAGUACUGGAAGUCCGGAUCCAACUCUUAACACAACUUACUUACAACAAUUGCGCACAAUAUGUCCCAAUGGUGGACCUGGCACGAACCUUACCAAUUUCGAUCCAACGACUCCUGAUAAAUUUGACAAGAACUAUUACUCCAAUCUUCAAGUGAAAAAGGGCUUGCUCCAAAGUGAUCAAGAGUUGUUCUCAACAUCCGGUGCAGAUACCAUUAGCAUUGUCAACAAAUUCAGCACCGAUCAAAACGCUUUCUUUGAGAGCUUUAAGGCUGCAAUGAUUAAAAUGGGCAAUAUUGGUGUGCUAACAGGGACGAAAGGAGAGAUUAGAAAACAAUGCAACUUUGUUAACUCAAAUUCUGCAGAACUAGAUUUAGCCACUAUAGCCUCCAUAGUAGAAUCAUUAGAGGAUGGUAUUGCUAGUGUAAUAUAAAUAAAUUAGCGUCAAUGCACUUAUUGAAAUCUUGUGACUAGAUGCCACUAAUAAAUAAGUUAUAACUAGGCACAUUUCAUGUCACUUGAAAUCCUAUGCUUUGUAUAUGAAAGGACGUGUUCUUCUUGGUAUUAUACUAUAAUGAGACUUGUAUUAUGAGUCGUGUUUAUGAUCAAUGUCACGCUUUCUUGUUUGUGACAUGCUUUGCCAUAAUUUUAUGAGUCACUUACACUUAAGCACAUUAUUUGGUUCAUAGUAAAAAAAAAGUUAUAAGCAUAUUGUAACGAUCAUAUUUGACUGCUUUUACACGAUAACACCACUUCAAUUCAAUUUACCUAAGCAAGUAUGGAAAUUCAAUUUACCUAAGCAAGUAUGGAAACAAUUAAUUGGAGGGAGGUGACAAGUCACCGAAACAAGAGAUCAUAGCAAGAAAAAAGGCCGGCUCAAAGAUUUUUUUUGAAAGAUUUGUACAAAUAAUUUAUAGAAGUUGUGAAUAUAUAAUUAAUAAUGUUCUCAGUCGUGCUUCAGGUGCAAUUGUUUCAAGGUUCGCUUGGUUGGAGAAGUAUCGUUAGUUAGAACACCGUCGCUCAACGAUGUGCUGUUUUGCGGUGGUCGUCAUUUUGGUUUUGUUUGACUUUGGGGGUUGUUUUGGUUAUGAUUAUUGUUUUUGGAUGUUCCGCCUAUAUACGACAUCGUUGCUUUGUAAAUCUUAUUUCACUUGUCUUUGUUCCUCUUGAACAAGGAUUUCUUAUUAAUAAAUUUAGCCUUUUAAAAAAAAAGUUGUGAAUAUAAUUAAACUAAUAUAUUUUGCUUACUUUGAAAUACUCUUUGAUCACGUACUUUGAAAUAUUCUACUUUUGAGUUUAUAGACAUUCUUUCAUAAAGUAAAUUUAAUUCUUCUGCUAUAGUACUAUUAUUGUUUUCCUUGAGAAUUCAAAACUAUGCAAAUAUUGUCCUCGUUAAUUAAUUCUUCUACUCUUAUUGAAACCUGUUUAAUAAACUCAACUAAAUGUACAAAACAGGGAUGGAGUAGAAUUCUACAUUCAAUUCAAAUAAAUAUGAACCAGGGAUGUUCCCAUGUUGAACAUUUGACCUUUGAUAGCGCUUGCCCAAGGGAAGCGGCAAGGUACACAUUUCAUAGCAAUUUCUCUAAAUACGCUAUUAAAUGUCAUACAGUCUUUGAUAGUGAAAAUCUGAGAAGGCUUGCAAGCGCUAUUAAAAAUAUUUUUUGGCAUAAUACACAUUCAACCGAACAUAGAUCUCUACAUGAUAUUGAAAUUCUUUAUUAUAAAUUGGCAUGUUUGAAUCCAUCCUCUGAAGCAUGGGUACUCCAAACAUGGAGAAGUACUGAUAUCUGGUACGCGUAUGGUAUUCGUAACUUAGUACCAAACCGUACCUAUUUUUACUUAGUUGUUUCGUCGUUGUUGGUGCAGCAAAAACGUACGGACGGUUGAAAAAUAGCCAAAAUUAUUUUGCUUUUUUAUUGUAUUUUAAUUCUCUUGCUUUUGAUGAAAAUAUUAGAGGGGGUGCAUAAAAAAUGUAAAACUCUCAAGCAACAUGAUGAUAGAAGUGUAGUAAUUCACUUGAAUUAUUAUUAUUUUUUUUUUAUGUUUUAUACCAACGUAACCAUACCUUUAUUUUUUAAAAUUUGUCAUAUUACGUAUUGGAUACCCUACCCGUACCUAUGCAUCAUAGUAUAUCCAUCUUAUCAAUUGAACGAUACCAAAAGUUAAUUUACCCUUUUAAUAAUCAUAGUGACAAAAAGUUGCGAUUAUAUUUUCUAAUGAAUUAUUAUGAUUAAUAUUUGAUUUGCAUCGAGAGGAUCACAUAAAUUAUGUUUUAGAUUUGUGGAUCAAAUGAACUUUGCAUAUGUUCAAGAGAGCUAUGUGUAUGAGGUUUAAAUUUCAAACUCUACUACUAAUAAUUCCUGUCCUCAUGGAUUAAAUAAGUAAGGUUGAUCAAGAGAAUUUAUAGCCUAACAUACAUCAGGCACAUGUCAUACAAAUUUUUUGUAUAAAUUAAAUAGACAAGGUUAAUUAAUUAAGAUUUAUUUAGAAGCAUAUUUAACUAGAAAGGCGAGAUGAAAUUGAUGUUAUUCCAUACUAAUGCCUCGUUGCAUCACACGCUACGGGAAGGUAACCAGUGCGCAGAUUUUCUUGUCAAAUUAGGAGCCUCUUCGGACGUCACUCUUUCAGCUCACCCUCAUCCCCCUGAUGAUCUUCGCCCUUUGUUGAGGACAGAUGCCUUAGGAACUUUGUUCUUACGAAGAUAGUUUUUUCCCCUAGAGGGUUUAUCUCUUUCUUUUUUUCUGUUUUUUUAGCAUUGUAACCAAAAAAAAAAAAAAAAACUCUUAAGUCACUGAAAAAGUCUUUUAAACCUAUUCUAUAAAUAUUGUACUUUAUGUUAAAUCAAAAAUUUGCUAAUAUAGUUUGUAAUUAAUUAAGCAUCCUAGCUUUCAUCAAUUUUUAACAUAUUUAAGUGUCUUACUACAAAUUAACUUUAAAUAUGAUGUUACAUAAGUCAUGAUUAUCUAAAAAGUCAUGUUAUAGAUAUUAAAAUACAACUUAAUUUAAUUAAUUGGUCUAUUAGUUUGUGUCUAUUUUUGUAAGUAUGAAAUAAAUCUUUAAUUGCACUAAAAAUAAAAUUUAUGACAAGUAACGAGUUAAACUUAUAUCUUAAAUUCUUUUUUUAUCAUAAUAGAUUUCUUGAUUACCUUUGAAAAAUGGUGGUAAUUUACCUACCAACCAAUGAAAAUGAGCAAUUUGUUGGUGGGGUCAAGAUAGUUCAUGGAUGCCACUUAAAAAUGUGUUUAUGUGGCUAUUGUGUAUUGGAUGGGGUAAAUUACCCACCAUUCUUCUAUGGGUACCCUAGUUGUCACCCUUGAAAAAAUUGUAUAAUGGAGUCAAAGAUAUGUUUCGUGUGGAGACACAACUUGAGAUCUCAUAUUUUCGGAUUGACAAACAAAUUAACAACCAUCAUAGAAUUAAUAGUAAAGUCAAACAAAACAUAGCUUGUUAAAAAAUAUCAAAGUUUCUUUUUCGUUAAAUUCAAAGCUUAGGACAGGGCAGCAGAUUAAAUUUUAGACUAAUGAAUUGUGGGAUAUAUCACUAAUCAUUCACUAAAGCAAUAAAAAGUCCAAAGGUUUAGAUUUGAUCUAGCUAACUUAAAGUUUGAAUAAUGUAACAAAUUAUUAUGUCAUGCACGUGGUUAACACAUAUAUAGAUAUUAUUAACAAAUGAAGUUUAGCUGUCCAAGUUUAGGUAUAUGCAUGCAUAAAUAAUUUUUUAAUAGGUCGAUUAGCUGCCCUGUCUUCAUGCAAAAUUUCAUCCACAAGCUAACUCGGGGGAGACAAACAAAGAAGACCGACAAAAGUAGGUUUAAUUUCAUCUCGAAGAUCUCGAGCAUAAGAUUCUUGUUUCCUUGUAGGUAUAUAUCCCUCCGUUUUUAAAUAUAAACAAAAAUCAUUUUUUAGGUUCAUUCAUUUAAUAAUGUAUGUGGUUCAUAAUAUGAAAGUUCAUAAUAUGAACCACAUACAUCAUCAAAUGAAUGAACCUAAAAAGUAAUUUUUACUUAUAUUUAAAAAUGGAGGGAGUAAUAAAUUUUCUUUUUUUAGCAGCCUUCCAAAUAUAUAAGUUAUGCCCAAGGGUAUUUAUAGUAUUGUAAAUUAACAUUAUGCUUUAUUGAAGUUUUUUAAAACAAAAAUAAAUAAAUUUCCAGAAAACAUAUUAUUUAUUUCCGGAAACUUAAUUCAAUUGUUAAGGAUAUGAAUAUUGCAUAUUAUAUAUAAGGGUUGAGAUUCGAACUUCGGAUACCACAUUAUUUAAUAAAAAAAAAAAAACGCAUAUUCUUUUUUAUGUUAACCUUCUCUUGGUAUUCUAAUUUUCUUUGACCGAAGAUUCUUUGAGUUAGAAUUUAAAGUUGAGUUUUUUGAACGAUUUAUUGCUGUUAUUGAACUUAAAAGUUAGUCAAGUGAUUGGCAAAUAAUUCUUGAUUGUGAUUUUCUUUGAGCAUCAAACAUUUACAUUUUCCAUUUAUUAACAACUCCAUGUGUUAAGUAUGAAGUUGAGUAUUUUGUGAGCUAUUAUACUAAGAAUUGCAUAAGUAAAAAAGUAAAGUAGAAAAACAAACGACAAAUUUGCAAAAAAAAAAUAAAAAAUAUCUUGAGUUGAAUGAUAUUUAUAGAAAAAAACUAGUCAUGUUGGCCAGUACAUUUUAGCCUAAAAAAUCUAGCCUUGUUCGACUAUUUAUGCGGAUAAUACAUGAAUCUUCAUGUUGUUGUAUGUAUGUGGCACUCUAGGUCUAGCCUGUUUUCCCCAUCUUGCGUCGUUUUCUAUUUUUCCUUAUCAAUGCAUGCUACAUUGCUUCAAAAUGUGCCAUUGUGAACAUAGUUCCUUCAGUUAGCGACAUUAUAAACAUGGGGCACGAGCAAAACAUAGAAUUGACAAGUUCCACAUGUCUUUCAUUGCUUCUAACACUCCCACGACCUGCGUGAACCGUAUUGGACUUAAGAAAGAUUCUCCAAUCUCGAAUUCAUCUUUAUUAGAUUCGGUUAUCUUUCAUUCGACUAUAUUGGGGAUUCAUAUGACCCUUAAUUCAACUGUUUUCCAUUCUCAACUAGCCACUUAAUUAUUUUUAGGUGUAAACAAAUGUUCACAACCAAUUUCAGGCAUGUCCUACCGGUUUCUCUCCUAACUAAGGAUGCAUUUCGUUGAUGACCAUGGAUGCCGACUCCGUUUCAAAGAAUUUGACAUAAUGUUUUCGUGCCUUUUUAUGAACCUUUUGGAAUAACAGUUAUUCCAACUGCUUCAGGUGUCAUCUUAACCAUAUGUUCAUGUCCAAAAUGAUGGUUAGUAUGAUUUAACGUAUCAUUCGUUAUUGGUUUCAUGUAGGGUAAACUGUGACAAAAGUACUAAGAUAGGAAUUUAUGGGAAUGAAAGAUGUCUACUAUAUAGAAUUUUGUUAACCUGCUAAUGAUCCACCAUAAUCAUGACCUACGAAGGAUUUGAAGUUUAUAGUCAGUCUAUGUUUUUGAGAUUUCCUCUAGAAUGCAAGUGCAUGCGUCAAAUUUAAUCAUGACCUGGAAAAUAGUUUUUUUUUUUUUUUUUUGUGAUAUUGGUCAUAAUGUCCCACUAGACGUGUGAAAUAUUUAAUCAUGACCUAUCAAUUGUGAUUCCCUUUGCGCAUCAAACAAAUUACAUGGAGGAAAAAAUUGAUGUGCUUCAACUAUGGGUUCUUUAACUCCUAAAAAGUGAAGGAGAAAUGUUAAUGCUAAAUUUGCGAAAAAUAGUUUGGUUUUGAUUAUUUUUUUGUUAAAUAAAAUCUACGAAUGCGGUAUUUAUGGAAAAAAUUAGUUCAACUGGCCAAUACAUUGUAGCCUAAAGAGUCGAGACUUGUUCAACUAAUUUUGCAAGUAAUGGGUAAAUCUUCCAUUUGUUGGGUGUACAUGGCAUCCCACUUCUAGCAUGUUUCCCCCCAUCUCACAACAUUUCAUCGGUGAUGAUGGUUGUUUCUGUUAAUGGUGAUAUAAUUAUGGAACACUAUUGAAAAUGUUAAAUUGUCAAGUUUCAUGUACAUUUGACUACUUCUGAUACUCCCUAAGACCUACAUGAAGUUUAGUGGAUUUGAGAAAGAUUCGCCUAUCUCAUAUUCUUUGAAUUAAACUCCAACUCGUGACGCCGACAAACCCUUUAUUGAUAAUACUCAUUAACAACAUCAGAGUCAAUACAAACCUCCACAAGCUUAAAAUAUCUGUCAUAAACCAAUUGAACUAGGGACGAACCCACCCUUAUGGGUAGUGUGGGUUAUGGCCUACACUUAGUUUUAAAAAUCAUUUUUUUAGUAUUUAAUACACUAAAAAAAAAACAAAUUAUAUGACAAAGACAAAGACAUAUGCCUCCACUAUGUUUGGAUUUUUUUUUUAAAUAUUUGAGUUCUUUUGUUGAGAAAGUGCAAGAUAUUUGUCAUAAUAAUAGUCUUAAAAUUUAUCAAAAUUACGAAAAUACGCACUUUUUUUUUUUUUUUACAAAAACAAACUUAAAAGUAUCUUUUAUUGAUCACUUUGAUCUUUAGAUAUGACUUUUAUUAAUUAUUUAACUAUUUAGUACUCAAAUGUAUUUUUUGUUAGUAAGUUGGCUUAAAUAUGUAUUUGAUCUUUGCAAUUAAAGGUCGUUUAAAAAUUGGUCCCUGUAUUCGCUAAUCCUUGCAAACUAGUCUUGCAAUCAUUAAUCAUUUAAAAUUUAGUCCUUUGACCAACUUAAUCACUGCCACGUCACUAAUUUGAUGACGUGGCAAUCACUGUCAAACAUGAAAUUUCAAUUUUGCCCUUAAGAAGAGGACAAAAUAUUGAAGAAAGAAUUGGAAACUCAGGGGUAAAAUUGGAAUUUCGUGUGGCAUGGCAGUGAUUAAGUGGGGAGAGGGACGAAAUUUUAAAUGAUUAAACAAUGCAGAGGUAAAUUGCCAGGAUUAGCGAUUACAGGGACCAAUUUUUAAACGACCCCUAAUUGCAAGGAUCAAAUACAUAUUUAAGCCUAGUAAGUUUUAUUAAAUUCAAAUAUUGUAGUCACAACUCAUCAUUCAUUUAGAGAUUAAAACGAUUAUUUUUAAACUUUGUAGUAUCAUACAUGUGACAACAAUAGGAGUUAUAGCCCUUUGAGGAUUUUUGUACAACUUUUGUUUAUGUUGUGUCGUUGAUGGUGUUAGCUUUGUUUUGGUAUUUCUAUUUAUUGAUUUUGGAUAUAGCCCUUUGUUAGGAGGUGUUUUCUAUAAGUUUUUUUUUUUUUUUUUUAUUCACGGGUGUAUGAGUUUUUCAUUGGAUCUUCUCAUCUAUCCUUUAUAUGUUACUACUUUAAGACUCCUAACCUAGCACUCCCUGUACUGGUUAAGAUUCAUCGCGAUGUUAAUAAAUUCCAUUUUAGUUUUUUUUAAAAGAAAAAAAAUACAUGUGACAACAAUAGGAGUUAUAUAGCUCUAUAGUAAUACACCCGAUAAUUCAGCUGUAUAUGAACCUGUAGUUUAAAUUUGUUUAUUAGCUUAGUAAAAAAAUUAUUUUGCGAAAAUUUCUGUGAGUUUUCUAUGAUAACAUGCAGCGAUUGUUAACAUCGAUCUACGCAAUCUUUCACAUUUGAUUAUUUCUCUGUACUGUAUCAUUUCUGUUUUUUAUAAGUCAAUUUAAUUUAUUAAAAUUAUUUGAAAACUAUAACCUUGAGUGCAAGUGAGGAACUAUGCAAGUUGUCCCAAUAACAGAAAUCGAUCAUAGUCCAAUUAAAAUACCGCAAAAUUCAAAUUUGAUGUACUAAUAAUUGUGGCAUACUUUUAAAGACAUAAUUAAAUAUAAAAAUAAUAGAGUGGUGAUAUUUGAACAACUAUUUGAUACAACUUUUGUGACAACUUCUUUUUUCUCUCUUUUCAUUGGUUAAAAACAAUGGAGAGAGAAAAAUAAAGAGAGAGAAUAAGAGUAUAAUAUGAAUAUGAAAGAUAAAGUUGUCACAAAAUUGUAAAAAAGGAUUGUACAAAUAUCAUUUCUCAAACAAAAAAUAUCAGAGAUGUUGAAUUCCUCAUAGUUCGUGGGAUUUGCAAAACCUAACUAAUAUUCAAAUCUGUCAUUGGGUAAAACAAAAGAAGGAAAAUGAAACAUGAAUUAUAUAUGUCACAUAUUAUAUAUGUGGGGAAAAUGCUUUUGAGAAAGCAUAUGGUGAUGUGAGACUUUAACAAUUUAUAUAUAUCCCCUUUAGGGUUAGGGGUAAGGUAAACACCAAAAUCUUUGUUUUUAGUCUUAAAAAGGAUGAAAAAUUGAAAAAAACAGUGAUUUAAAGAACGACCUAAAGCAAGUCAAUGACCAAAAUAAAUACGUGUGAGGUACUCCAUAAACAAUGUACCGGAUUUCUUGUUUUUGCUUUUCUGACAUUGAUGUUCCACGUCAUAACGUGCAACAUUUAUUUAUUGAAAAGGAUCCACAACUUGUUGACAAAAGCAUGGUAGUAUGGGGACAGCAUUAGUUUUCUAACGCAACCUUAUCUGAAAUAAGAAAUGAUAUUUCUAAAUUGUUUGCUCAAAAACGGUGGUGGUGGUUUAUGAUCAAUUUUUAACUAAAAUUAUCAUUUUGAAAUAUUUUUUCUCUUUUAUUUAAAUAAGUGAUUUUUAUAUUUAUUUAAUUUUUCUUUUGAGAUUUUCUCAUCUUAGUACGAUAGUGUUUUGUUCGUGGUCUAUAUACAAUAUUGUUUGUUUUUUCGUUUUGUUAAGAUGUUUAUUUAAUUCAGAUUGUCAUAUCAACUUUGAUCAAGAACAUAUCCCUAUAAGACAAGGUGCAAAAAUGAAGGUCUUCUACACGAAGACGAUGAACAUGAUCUUUAAAAUGGGACGCGAGCCAUGAUGAACUUUGGGGUCUUCCACACUAGGACAAUUAUAGAGCUUAUAUGUAAAUCUUCUUUUAUUCAAGGUUAUAUAUGUAAAUCUCUUCGAUACAUUAUACAUUGAGUACAAUGUAAUAUUUUGAAUAUGUUAGUUUUUUUUUUGUCAAGAAUAUGGUAGUUUUAUAUGCAUGAUUAAUUAUUAUUAUUAGGUUUAAAUGCAGUUUUAUCUCCCCUCCCUUAUUUUGACUCAAACUGGAUUUUACCCCUCCUAUUUUAAAACUCGGAAUUUCACCCCCCCUUCCCCCCAGUUUAAUGUUUUUCAGAAUUGUGCCCCCCUAUUUUAAAAAUCGGAAUUUUACCCCUCCAGUUUAAUAUUUUUCAGAAUUUGGUUGAUGUGGCGGUGCUAACGUGGCUUAAAUAAUAUUAAAAAAACACUCACCUAUUUAAAUUAUUUAUAUUAAAUAUUCUGAAUUAAAAAAAAGAGAAAAAAUCAAUAAAUAAAAAAUGUAUUGCUUGUUCAAAAAAAAAAAUGUAACUUAAAAUAAUAAUAAUAAUAACAACUUUUCUUAUAUUUCCUUCAAAAAAUCAUUUUGCUUAUAUGCACACACCAAAAUCCAAAAUCCAAAAAAUACCAUAAAAUGCAUAAAAUAAUGAAAAAAAAAAGCAGGAAUUAUUAAACCAAAAAUUAUAAAACUAGAAGGAGAAAAAGCAGUAAAAAUACUAGAAAAUGGAGAUAAAAGGUAGGAAAAAAAAUCAGAAUAACAGAAAAAAAUCCCAUUAAAAAUACAUGAAAGGAAAUGUAAGCAAAUUGAUGUUUUGGAUUUUGGUGUGUGCGUAAAUCAGAAUAAACAACAACAAAAAUCCCAUUAAAAAUACAUGGAAAGAAAUACAAGCAAAAUGAUUUUUUGGUUUUUGGUGUGUGCAUAUAAGCAAAAUGAUUUUUUGAAGGAAAUAAAAGCAAAAUGGUUAUUAAUAUUAUUAUUAUUAUUAUUUUAAGUUACAUUUUUUAUUUAUUGAUUUUUUUUCUCUUUUUUUAAUUCAGAAUAUUUAAUACAAAUAAUUUAAAUAGGUGGAUGCUUUUUUUUUAAUAUUAUUUAAGCCACGUCAGCACCGCCAAAUUCUGAAAAAUAUUAAACCGGGGGGAAUUCCGAUUUUUAAAAUAGAGGGGGCAAAACUCCGUAAAACAUUAAACUGUGGGGGGGGUGAAAUUCCGAGUUUUAAAAUAGGAGGUAAAAUCCAGUUUGAGUCAAAAUAGGAGGGGCAAAACUGCACUUAAGCCUUAUUAUUAUUAUUAUUAUUAUCAUCAUCGUCACUGUUGUUGUUGUUGUUGUUAUAGUUUUAUAUUUUGCACCCCGGCCUAGGGUCAUAAAUACGUCACUGCCACCAACAGCAAUCUCGACCCGCUCUCUUUUUUCUCCCUCAACACCCUUCUUUCCAACCUCCUUCUUCCCACUCGUAACAUCCCCUCCGUCUCCAUCUCCUUAGAAUUCUCAAAGUAAUCAUACCUUGCAACCUUAGCAAAGACCCAAUAAUUACCAAAACAAACAUUAUUCAAUGUUUUAAAAAGUUUUCCAACAUCAAGUACAUUGUUGAAGCGAACAAAACCAUAUGCAUGACCAUUCACGUUACACUUAUUUGCCAAGUAAACAUCUUUCAAAAUUUCACAAACAUCAAAACUUUGCCGUAAACAAAAAUAGGGAAUUUUCUCCAGCACGUUUGUAAGAUAAAAAGAAAAAAAAACCUCUUGAAUUGUGACCCCACAUGAUCGGACCUAUUAUGUUGUAGAUGACGAAUAUCAAAAUUAGAACCAGCCCCUAACCAUGCUGAAACUUGAUGCGAGCCAUGUUGAGUGUAUCGCGACCUUGAAUGCACAAUACUUUGAUCCUGAAAAACCCUAGCCCUAACCUGUUAAAACCGAUGCACACCAAUACCUCCUUGCCGCGAUGUUGCCUGUUAUCUGUCCUGGCCAAUAUGACCCCAUCCAAACAUUUUUCGACGUCGCCGACUCACCUCUGUUCAUUUCCCUCAAUCCCCCCGAAGAACCUUAGUGUCGGCGAUAUGAAAUGUCGACGCGAUUGCCCUCGGCGAAUCCUAGGGUAAUCGCCCCUCUCAACAUUUUUCAUAUUUGCUAAUAGAGAAGAGUUAUUUGAACAACCAUUUGCUUGAUAACUUAUGUAACAACCAUAAUUUACAAAGAAAAAAAUAGGUAUUUGCACAAAAACCAAAAUAAUAAAAAGAUAAAAUAAAAAUUAAUGUGAAUAUAAAAGAGAAAAUUGACACAAAAGUUAUCACAAAAUAAAUGUUCAAAUAUCAUUUCCCUUCCUAAUAACUCCAAAUGCUAAAUAUGGUCUGAAGCCAACAAAUAUGGUGGCAUCUAAUGAAAUGACAUCACAAGUUGACAACCAAUAAAAUACUUGGGUACAUAUGACUCUUGCAUGCUUUUUAUUUUAUGCGAUUUCCCUGUUUCCUUUUGAUAGGUUCUGGGCAAUUUCCUGAGCUAGUACAUUGGUGGAGAAAUAAAACAAAUAUGGUAUGGUACAAUUGGAGAAAUAAAUUUUAUAUGGACCUCCCAAAAUAAUUUUGUCAUCGUUAUCGAAGACAUAAAUAUUGGUCCCCAUCGCUCACGUGUUAUUUGUUUGACUCUUGAUAAUCACGGGUUAAUCAUUAAUUCAUUCAUACACUUUUUUUUUUACAGAAUACAUUCAUAACUUUUUUUUAGGGGUAAAAUUCAUUCAUAAACAUUGUACCAAAAAAAAAAAAUAUAUCAUUCAUUCAUAAACAUAAUAGUUUCUGAUAUUAUUCUCUCAAAAAAAGUUUCUGAUAUUAUUGUUGUUCAGCCGAGGGGUUUGGUGGCGGUGCCAAUAAGUAUGAUUGUACUGCUGGGUGUGCUGAUCUUAUUAGGGAUCAGAAGAUGAGUGAUUAGGGGAUUCUUUGGAUUUUUGGAGAAAUACAUUCGAUAAUUUAAUUGUGACACAUAAAUCAAUUAAAAUAUUUUUUUCUCUCUCUUUUGCAUGUUUUUAUGCUUAAAAAAAAUUGUAUUGUCACAUAUCAUAUUUGAAUUUGCCAAUAUCAUAUAUAUUAUGUUACACAACACAAAUGCAAUCCACCUGUGACUCUGUGAGGGAGUAGUAUAGAAGGUCUUUGUUGGUAUGCAAAGUGGUUGGGUUUUAAUCUAGCAAAUUAUAUGUGGAUUCUUAGGUUGUGGUGAAUAGUAGUAUUAUUAUUAUUAUGAAGGGGCAGCAGUAGAAUGUGAUUGUAAUGUGUCUUGUUCAAAGGAUUUGACAACUCUUACUGGAUGGAGUGAAAGGUGAAGGAUCAACAUUUAUAUCUUGAGGACAUGUGUGUUGAUCUUUAACUAAUACUACUCGUCUUUGUAUACAAGUUUUCUACGUCAUUUUUACAUUUAUUAAGAAAAGUUGUUAAUGUAAUUUUUAUGUUUAUUUUAUGUGUUAAUAUUAUUAAGUUAUUUUUGGUUUAUAUGUAUAUUAAAUUUGAUUUUUUUUUUUCAUAUUUUAAGAGAAGUUAGUAGUAUUUUUUUGAAAAAAAGACACGUCAGUGGUAUUAAUUAGUUAUAUGUUUAAAAAAAAAAAAAAUCAUCUAAUAAUUUGUAUAAACAAUUAUAUUUAGGGACAAUACAUUUUAUCAAAAUCCUUAUAAUUAUGGACGGAGUAAAUAUUAGGUAAAAUGAGAUAUGAGAUGAUGUUUUAUGAAUCUUGUCCGACACAAAUUAGUCAUUUGUUUGCUGCUGAUCAAUCAAGAUUUUCUUUACCACGUUGGGUUAAGAUAUAAUUUCUUCAUGUUAGUAAAAAAAAACAUUAAUUUCCGUGAGCUUAGUUUAGUUGGUAAGUAAAGACAAUGCAUAAUAUAUGCAAGGUCUGUUCGAUCUCUGAACACCACAAAAUAAGAGUAAAAAAGGAUUAAUAUUUUUUAGAAAUUUAAAUUUUUUUUUUAUUAAUUUAUAGAGCUUUGUUUGUACCAAUUAUUUGUGUGCACAUAUAUAUAGGAGAGAUAUUGACUCCAAGAAUAAGUUUAUAGAUUUACUCUAAAUCUCCACCUUUCAUCUCAUUUUAAUCUAAUGGUUUAAAUGUUAAUUUUUGAAGGAGAAGUGAUUUUCUUCUUCUUCCCGGUUCAAAAGCAUAUCAAAUUAUGAUUUUUUUUCGAAGGCAAACUCAAUUAUGACAAAAAUAUCUUCAAAUAUGUCAAAAAAUUGAAAUUUACUACUUUACAUAAAGUGAUCAUAUUUUAAUUUCUCAAUGACAUGUAUGGAAAAACAACAAAUUUAACCUUAAACUACUAAAAGAAAGGAGCUUACUAUUCUCCAAAAGUUGAGGAUGAAAGUUUUGUUUACCACGAGAAAUCAUGUCAUUUUUUUCCUUUCAAAUCACCCAAGAACUAGCAAAUCAACUCAAUAACAUGAAAGAGCUCAUUGAUUUUGCAUAACCUGAAGAGCCACCAAAUUAUAAAAAUGAUCCGCAAUAAUAGAUGAAUUCGCUGAAUGAACUCCUAGCUAGCCAAUUGCAAACAAGUUGCCAAAUUGUACUAAAAAACUACAAUCCAAAAAUAAACGAUUCUAUGUUUCCAACAAUCCACAGCCACACAACUGAGACUCAUGUGAUACAAUUCCUCUUCAGAAUAAAUUCACCUUAGUUGAUAAUCUAUUCAGAAGAAAUCGUCAAGCAAACACCGACACCUUCAACGGGACAUCCCGCCGCCACAAGAGAUCCGAGGAAAUGAAGUCAUCAGUGGGAAUCCUAUUAGUGAGAAUGUGAUAUGCACCACAGACAUAAUACCCAUCAGUUGGAUCAAGGACCCAAGAAUAUCCAGAUUUUUGGCGAGAGAUUAAAACGGAUGGGAUUAAUACAAUGGUGCAAUGUGAAUGGAAGAAGUCUUCUUUAAUAGAUUCGACAACUUUUACAAACGGGAAUGAGAAGUGAAGGUUGGACAUUUGUGUUGUGAAUACUCCAUAAAACAUAAACAUUUGCAUUGAAUAUAACAUGGGUAUUGAUGCUUUAGCUAAUAUUAAGGGUAUAACGGAGUAAGAGAUAAUUUUUAAGUCUUAUCCGAUUUAAAUUAGUCAUUUGUUAGUUGCCGAUCAAGGAAGUGUUUCUUUUCAUGUGUUUGGUUAAAAUUAAUUUCUCUUCUCUUGGGCUACUGCCCUCGUGUGAGUAAAGAAACGUGAAUAUUUUUUCUUCUUCUUCCCGGUUCAAAAUCAUACCAAUUUAUGAUUACUUUGAAGGCAGAGUCAAUUAUGACACAAUCUUCAAACAUGUAAAAAAAUUGUAAUUUACAUCUUUACAUUCAAGACGUGGAAAAAAUAAAAAAGUGGCCAUAUUUUAAUUAUUCAAUGACGUAUAAAUUCUAAUACAUACCUGCUCACGAUAUGACAGCGAUUUGUACAUUUUUUUUCUCUAUAGUUAGAUCAUCAUGAUUGAAAAAUUGAAUAUUAUUGAUUUGAACCACUAAAGCACAAAAUGAAAUGCAGCAUGCACAUGCCAUUUCUUUCUAUAAAUAAAUAGAUCGCAUAUGUGGUAACCACACUUAAGUCUAAGCUCAAAACAAGAGAAAAAUAAUGAACUCUUUCAAUCUCUCUUUGGCAGCUUUGUGCUGUGUAGUAGUUGUGCUUGGAGGGUUACCCUUCUCAUCAAAUGCACAACUUGAUAAUUCCUUCUAUAGGGACACUUGUCCUAAUGUUCAUUCCAUUGUUCGUGAAGUACUAAGAAAUGUUUCUAAGACAGAUCCUCGUAUACUUGCUAGUUUGAUAAGGCUUCACUUCCAUGAUUGCUUUGUUCAAGUAAGUAUUAUUCAUCAUUUUUAAAACUCGGUAUCUGAUCAAGGACCGACUGAUCCGUAAAACAUUUUUGGUAUUUGUAGCUCAUAUAUUUUAUAUCUAUGUUUAUGAAAGGGUUGUGAUGCAUCAAUCUUGUUGAAUACCACUUCUACGAUCACAAGUGAGCAAACAGCUUUUGGAAAUAACAACUCAAUAAGAGGUUUAGAUGUUGUGAAUCAAAUCAAAACAGCAGUGGAAAAUGCUUGUCCUAACACUGUUUCUUGUGCUGAUAUUCUUGCUCUUGCUGCUGAAAUUUCCUCUGUUCUGGUAUGUUCCAUAUCUUCUUUGUUCCAUUUCCAUUUUUUCUAGUUCUAGUUUGCAAAAACAACAACACUGUAAUAAAAAAGCAGUCAAAGAUGAGUUGAGAAUCCUUGCCAUAAAAAAAAGUUAUGUUGGAAGAACUAUUUUCUUCUUUGUUUUUAACAUGAAAGUGACAUAAAAAAAGGAAAAAAAAAAGUAUUAAAGUGUCAUACUACAAACACAAAAUUAUUUGUCGGUUUUUCCUCACGGAAAAUUAUUUGUACAAUUUAAUUGUUAUUCUUUCGAUCUCAUAAUGAGUUUCUUAGAUUUUUUAUUGUUUAUUUUCAAACACCUAGGAACAAACUUCUUAAUCCAUUUCAUAAUGAGAUGUUUUAAAAAAAAUAAAAAAUUGUUUUAAAAUAAUACCACUUUACAUUUUUGAUAUAAUUUUUUUUCCAACUUUACCAUUAAUAAAUACUUCAAUUUUUCUCUUUCUCACUAUUUCCAAUGUAACUUUAAGUUUGUCUUUUUCGCAUAAAGUUAGGAUAAUUUAGUAAAAGUGUUAUGUCUAUUGAUUAUUUUAUUCAAUUUCUUAAUUUGUGCGUCAAAACCUUAAAUGACACUCGUUGUAAAACUGAGUGAGUAUAUAAAAGAAAAUGAAUAAAAUUAUACUAAAUUAUGUUAGUAAGCAUUGGUGCAAAUUUUUUCUUACAAGGUUGACAUUUUUUUUUUCAUUAAAUAUUUUCUUUGUGAAGAAUUUUUAACAUGUGUCUUAAGGGCACAUGGACUUAACAUGACCCUUAUCAUAAAUGCAAAUAAAAAAUAAUACUAAUAAUUUAUAAGCAAUACAUAAUUAGAGGGUAUAAUUAAAAAAUAAUAAUAAUUUAAUUUACAAUAAGAAUUAAAAAUAACAUUCAUUUUAGGUUAGUUGUUUACAAAUGUAAACUUUAUUUUAUCUUUCCUUUCUUUUACUCUUUAUUUAGCUCAAUCCUCAUUUAUUCUAGUAACAUAAUUUGCAGGCUAAUGGUCCUGAUUGGAAAGUGCCAUUAGGAAGAAGAGAUAGUUUAACAGCAAAUCUAACCCUUGCUAAUAUAAAUCUUCCAAGUCCAGCUUUCAACCUUACUCAACUGAAAUCUAACUUUGAUAAUCAAGGUCUCGACGCUACAGAUCUAGUUGCACUUUCAGGUAUAGAAAUGUUUCCUAAAUUAGAGAAAUUAUUAUUAAUACACCAUUUUACAAAUGAGAUUUGAACUCGGUUCGUUAAGGGUGAUAUACCUCAUGAUGUAUGUAUAUGUGUGUAUCUAAUUGUAUAUAUGUUUUGGUAAAUUUUUAGGUGCUCAUACAAUCGGUAGAGGUCAAUGCAGAUUCUUCGUUGAUCGAUUAUACAAUUUCAGCAAUACUGGAAAUCCCGAUCCAACUCUCAACACAACCUACUUACAAACAUUGAGAACUAUAUGUCCCAAUGGUGGACCUGGUAGCACCCUAACCGAUCUGGACCCAGCCACUCCAGAUACAUUCGACUCGGCCUACUACUCAAACCUAAGGAUUCAAAAAGGCUUGUUUCAGAGUGACCAAGUAUUGUCUUCCACAAGUGGCGCGGACACGAUUGCCAUUGUCAACAGUUUCAACAACAACCAAACUCUUUUCUUUGAAG